rnacentral:lncRNA from 1 species
GUACGGGCGGCACGUUCGUUCGCCCGCGUGUGUGCCACCAGAUUUUUCGUACGACGCGUUUCCUUGUGCGCGCGUGAUUCCGCCGGUGCCUACCUGUACCCGAACCGCCGCGUCCGUUUUCCCUCCGGCAGAGUAUUCGAAUAGUAAAUAUUUUCUACGUGUCCGUUUGCCGACCGCGAUAACCGUCCCGACGAUUUGUUUAUCGCCGUUUUAUUUCGAGGGAUUUGUUUUUUUUCUCAAACGAAUUUUCCGCGAUUUUCGAUAACCUCCUCUAACGAUCCGAGCGUACCACUCGAUGUCCACGGGAUUUCCGUAACCCCGACAACCCGUGUUCGUACCGCGCCGCCGCGAGCGAUCACACGUCGACCCGCGACGCGCGGAUAAAAGGCCUAUUCGCGCGCGAUCGUCGCCGUCCCCGCCGUAAAUCACCACGGACAACGGAAUGCGCCGCAAAGGCCGCCGGCCGCCGCCGGCGCGACUCGGACCGUCGCGGUGGCCGUUGCUGUUCGCCGCCGCCGUCGUGCUGCUGACCGUCGUCGUCGCCGUCGUCGGAUCGGACGGACAACAAGCAGGUAAGCGGAGAUUUUUAACGUCCCAGUACCUGCAUCACUGCGCGUCUUCGUCGUCGUUGCGUGCGUGCGUGCCAAUGCACGCGAGCCCGCGUGUGUGUGUGUGUGUGUGUGUGGCGCGCUACGUGCGCUUGUGCGUGCGCGCUCGCGUACGUACGUACGUACGCGACAGCAACCGGUUUCUCGUUCUUUCUACCUGCAGCUCUUUGUUACACGACACCGGUGCAGCGUAUUUUUUUCUAUUUUUUUUCCUCCCGCCGCCGACGCCGCAUCAGUUCCCCCCCACUCCCGUCGUACGCGACCGCCGCGUUUCUUAUACUGUAGUUGCCCCCACACUCUCGGCAAUAAUAACAAUAAUUAUUAUUAUUAUUCCGACGACGGCGACGACGACGAUGAUUAUUAUUAUUAUUACACGCAGCCGUCGUUCCCCGCGUGUACGGCCCGUGCAGAGUUACCUGGUACGCGGUGCGGCAGGUGUUCCACGCCGCCGCGAGAAACCACCGGUUAGGUCGCUGUUGCCGCGGCCCCCGUCGAAUAGGCCAGACGACAAAGGGAGCGCGUCUUUUUUUUUUUUUCCCACCCUCGCCGGCAGCCAACCCCGAAUCUCGAUAACGCGCGACGGAUCGGACCGGGACGUGGAUAAUACGAGAGAAAAAAAAAUACGCUUAAUAACGCGGUAUACGAAAUUCACCUCGAUCAUCCCGCGAUGACCCAAAUACAUACGUAAUACGUGAUAUUAUUAUUUGUGUAUUAUUGUCCCGCGCACGUUUUUCGGCCUGUCACGGGCCCGUCUUUUUUUCUUUUUUUUUUUUUUUUUUUUUUUCACCCGCCCGGUCGAUUUUUUCCUACCGUCCGGCGCGCGUUUUCAUCGGGACGGCGUUUUCGCCGAAUUAUUCGAAUUUUUCCCGCCGUUAUGCCGUCGAAACGUAACGGGAUACGUCCAAUUAUCGGGGUAUUCGAGCGUAUUCAAAGGCCGCGGAGACUCGCUGUAAAGUCGUCGCGACGCCCCCUCAAAGAGUUAACGACCACUCGAAAAAUAUCAACAAAAAAGAAAAAAAUUCGCUCAUUUCUAAUUGGGAAUCCGUCGCGUUUUCGUCGUGUUUGGCAAUUAUUAUUGAGUUUACCUACAAAGUUGCCCUCUACACACACACACACACACACAUAUAUAUAUGUGUCUCGUGUUAUAGACGUGCGUGUGGGCCGACGCGAUUUCAGAUAGAAAAAUAAAGAAACUCUGCCGUUUUUAUGUUUCCGAAAAACCGUCGGAUAAGUAAACACUACCGCUCGUUUUUUCUCGCGUCGCUCGUUAUUCUCGUACGUUGUAAUGUUGCGAAACGCGCGCCCCGAAGACAAAACACAACUCGUUUGGCGCGUAAUAUUAUAUUCUUGCCGAUACGUUUUUUUUUUUUUUUUUUUUUAUUUUUUUUUUUAAUCGUCGGCAAAAAAUACGCGCGUAAAAACGUGCGGUAUUUCGUCGUAUCUAAACGUCUCGACAUUAUACUAUUAUUAUUAUUAUUAUUAUUACGGCCUUCGGAUAUUUCCUCGACCGUUCGAUCGGGUUUUUGAUUAAUCGAACGGUACGAUUAUUCCGUUUCCGUAUUUAAAAAAAAAAAAAUUGUGUUGAAAUAUGGUUUGAAAAAAAAAAAAAAAAAUGUCCCGGUCGCGGAUUUACGGGACGAGAUUGCGUCUUGGUGUUAUUUUUUUUCCUCCCCAAAAGCCGUACAAUUCAAAACUGGUACUGGCCGCAAAACGCGAAACGACCCGUGUCUUUUUUCCCUAUAAUAAAGGACUUGUCGAUACCGCAACGUCGUCGCGCGUCCAACGUUAUCCCGGACACAAAAACCUCUCUGGCGUCUAUCGGCCCCCCCGUCAUAAAGGGAAAAACAAAACGGAAUCCCGGACGUCCGCCGCCGAUAUUGCGUGUCCGCACGGUGCGCCGGGUGACGUCGGUUGUCCGUCAAUCUGUUAAUCUGUCCGCGCGCGUUCGUUUUCGCGCAGAUAAAAUGUCGAUAGCCGCAACGGGUAAAACGGAAAUCGAAUCGCAACUGCCGUUGACUCGUCGAACCGGGAAGACCCGCGGAACCGGACCUGUCGUAAUUACCCGCAGUGAUUACGAAACGCGAUAACGUUCAUUGUCAUCGCAUUCGGCGAGGGGCCCCGUCCGCGCGUAAUUCGUUUUACUACCGGUCCGUCUCGCGCGCCGUCCCGGCCGACCGCCGCUGGUCGGAAACCCGGCCGUUUACCGACGCGUGAUACCGAUACGCCGGCAAUCGGCGUAUUCUCCUCCCCCCCCUCCCCCCUCGCCUAACCCUCCCCGCCGUUGUACCGAAAUCGACGGUUUUAACAAUAAAAAAAAAAAAUCAACGCCAUCGAUUAAAUAUUUUAAUCAAUUACGCACAAAUUAUUAACGUGUGUCGCCCACCUACGCUGUACUUGCCGUUUCCCGCCAAUAUGUACUUGACAGAAAUUAAUUUUAAUAGGUGUUUGAAUUAUCGUUAUCGAUUAAGUUAUUAUUAUUGUUGUUUCGGGGGGUGGAAUGAGAACGGACGAAACCGGCGUGAAAAUGGUUUCGCACCGUAUUCGCACCGUUUGGUCGUGGGAUUUAUUUUCGUUCGCGCAACGAGGGCAGUAGUAAUAGUUAUCAGCGGUUAAAACGCGCGUUUGUUCGCGGCAAAAACGAAAAAAAAAUCUUUCGGGCCGCCGCGCGACGAGUGCUCGUGUUUUUCGAAACUAUUAACGGGGGGUAUCCUUUUGCCGCCCGGGACUCGGCCGCAAUCGUUGAAAUGCGAAACGCGUUCCGCGUCCGUCAUUGGCCGUUACGCGUAUAGGUUUUCAGAUUUUCGUUCGGCGGGCACGACUCGUAUGCGGGCGAAUAUUUAUAAUUUUUUUUUUUUGUUUUUCUAAUCUAUCGCCGCCAAGAGGGACAUCUGGACGCGGAGAUAAGGACAUUGUGCCGGUCGUCGCCGUUCGUUUUCUCCCGAACAUCCAUACGCGGGGUGUACGACCGCGGGGAAAUGUCGCGUCGGCUGCACAAUGCCAACUGUCCGAUCGUGUUCGCUUUAUCGAAACCGUGCCAUAACCGCCGCGUUCGUUUCGUCGUUCGGUUACGGAUGUUUCGGCGACCUGCGGCCAAAAAGUCACGGCCAAAGCAAUAGCGAAACGCGCCGCGAUAACGGCGACUGUUGUUGUGUAGAUUCUGAAACGCCAAGACGGCGUCGGCGUACCCGGAACGUUUUCUAAUGUGUCAUUUUGAAUCCACCACGUCCCGCACGUGUAACAAUAUACGUGUUCAAAGCAAAACGACGCGAACGCCGUCCCGAGCCGUUCGUUUUUUAAUAUAAUUUUUUUUUUUCCAUUUUUCCGUCACGAAUUGAACGAACGCGUUCGAAUCAUCGAAAAAUAAUCGCCGACAUUCCCGGGGCCGGCGCAACCGAAGCGGCACGAUGCCGCGCGUUCAACACACUGUUGCUCCGGUUUUUUUUUUUUUUGUAUUAUUAUUCAUCCGCACUCAUUUCAAUAAAAAUUCACCGGCCGUUUUAAACGACGUUUAUUAUUUUCGCGUUGAAUACAAUUCGCUCGCCGAUUACAAUUAUCAUUGUACGCGCAUGUGCACGUCGACAGUUGAAGAAAUCGCGAAUUUUAAUCGUCGCCGCAAUUAUUAAUUAUUAUGCGGCCGACCAACGAGAUAAACGACGCGAACCGAACGUGGAGAUUCGCAAACAUUCGUUCGUCGCUGGCAACAGAUUUCUGUUGUUUUUUUUUUAUCUUCUUCUUCUUCUCCUCUAUAAUCGGUGCGGUAUGCCGAACUGGGUAAUUAUCGAUUCGGUUGUGGGAAAGAAUUUUUUUGUUUUCUUUUUUAUUUACCGUAUUAAAUCGGCGUGUUCGGACGGAGAAGUAACCCGUCUUUUCCUAGAAAAACCCGUCUUAUCGAAACGAUAUUUCCCCCCCCCCUCCUCCUCAAAUUGUUAACUUUUAGCGAAUUUCAACGAAAUUUCGAUUCUAAUGUGUAUUCGCCCGCACCGUCGGCUGGCGGCGCGUGCUACACGCAUAUUCGUGUACGGCGUCUUUCCCUCGGAUACCUUUUAUCACAUUCCCCCCCCCCCCCCCCCCCCCCCCCCGAUUCUUCCACGGUGUUUAUUUGUUGGGUGUUGUAAAACGUACAACGCGCUUUUUACGAAAACGACCCGCGCGCGGUCGUCACCGCGAAUGUAAACAACGACUCGGCCGGUAGGUAGGCGGCCAAUGAGAACGGCCGGACACCAUAGAAUACUGUAAUAGUAAUGUGCUUGGUCUCCGAAAACGGAUAAUAUUAUUAGUUGCCGGAGAAAAACAUUGAUCUCGAAUAUUGUCGCGUUGUUAUUAUUACUAUUACCAUUAUGUACGAGCGUGUCAUGAGGUUUGUGACUUUAUAACAUUUUCACACGAGUCGGCGAACUGUGCUGCGGCGCGACGUCGCCGCCGCCGCCGCCGCCGCCGGUGUUUGUGUCAACAAGUGUCUCGGGGACGAUAACGAGGAAUGCUUGUUGUUUUGUUAUUGCAUCACCGUUGAUAAAAACGAAUUAUUGUUAUUAUAAUAUUAUUACACAGCGGUUAUGAGUCAUUUUAUGCGCACUGGUUGGUGUAGCGAUUUUGAAGUGCGCCUAUGCGAUCCAUAAUAGUAUUUGUCGCAAUAGUUUCCGAUUGCGAAACGCGCAUUCUCGGCGUGGUACACUCGAAGUGCCUCUAACCUAUGGAUAUGGUUGUUAUCGUGUUUGACGAACGACAUAAAAAAAAAAAAAAAUCGCCCGUUCGUUUUACCGUCGAAUGACUUGUUAUCUAUGACCGAGGGGAAAAAAAAGAACGACAGUUUUAAAAUUUUUGUAGAUGGAAAAAACAAAAAUGAUAUAUUAUAAUCUAUAUUGGAACAUUAGAACACUUUGGCGCUUGAGCGACUUUUGACAGACUAAGUUUAGUUCAUUCAAAUAACAGCGUGGAAGUAUGGAAAGGUCAUAGGCGGGGUCAUUGGUAAUUUCGAUGAAUGAAAGAUAUAUUGCAACCACUCGUUAAAGUUUUGAAAAGUUUUAACUUUUUUUGAAAAUACUGUUUUUCACGUAAUUUUUUUACAAAUUAAAAAUGUUUUCAUACGAAUUAUAUUUUUAUAUUUCAAUAUUUUAAACAAUCAUAUUGAAUACAAUUUUUUUUUUAAUUUUCAUAAUUAAUUAUUAUAUUUAAUAUGUUAGAACUGUUGUGUUUUUGUUUUACCGAUUACCGUUAUCUAUAGGUACGUUUUGUUUUCGUUUAGGUUACGUAAGUCGUUACCGCGAAUGCAGGAUGCCGAACGACAGUCUGUUAUCAAUAUCUUAUUGGCGGUCAGAAAGUUUUCAAUUCACAAUGUUUGACCCGUGCCGCUAAAUGGUUACGGUGGUUAAAUUCUUAAUUAAUUGUCGUGUAUAAUAAACCGUCAGAUUGAAUGCCUACAAAAACAAAUACGAACAAAUCAAAAGAUACGACAACUAUUUCAUUUCGCUUUAGUUCGUAUCGAACGGUACCCCGCUGUAUUUUAAACGUUGUCACUGUGGCGAAAAAGCGCGUUAUUCCGGAUUUCGGAAUUUUCAGUGUACAACUGAUAAGCUAUCUAUUUCGGCAUUUUGCAUAAUCUUAAUUCGCUGUCCGUUACUAACGGUUUGUUUUUAACGCGAUAACGGUCCUAUGCGAGGCCCUACAUCUAUCGCGUUUUUCGAAACUCCGUUUAUUUCACGUUCUAGAGGUUAAAAAUCAUUAUUGUCGGCCAUGACUCCGCCAUUAAUAUUAGGCGAUCAUUUAACGUGCUCGGGUAAAAGUAGAGUUGUAUUCAAAAUGUCGUACUCUAUUAUGCUUAUACCCGCCUGUAUUUACCUGGGUAAUGCAUACAAUAUAAUCGUAUAUGCGGUGUAGGUAAUUCAGUGGUUUAUUUGGAAAGGCCCGAAUAAAAGGUUACGUGGACGAUACUAAUUCAGAGGGACAUUUCGGCUGUAAAAUACCUGUGGAGGUGUACUCCGCCGAAACACGAUAUUGGUACUUAUUAUUUGAUUAACCCCAUCUAAUAAUCUUUUAAUUUAAACCGUUUGAUUACCUAGGUACCUACCGCAUAUAAUAGAUAAAUACAGUUUGGUAAUAUAAAUAAAUAUAGGUGACGUUAAAUAAAAUUACGAGGGCUUUGAGCUUUGAGAUUUUCCACUGAAAUAAUAAAGACAUUGACUCGGAUGUUACGUGUAGGUUAGGUACAUGCGUGUCGAUGCGUAUUUUUUAUCUGAAUUUUUACAUUUAUAUUUUAGUUAUUAUGCAAUCAAAAUUAUAACUGUUGAUCGUUUCUUAUUUUAUUUAUUUUUUUUUUUUCAACGAACAAAUAUCGAGAUUAUUUAUUAUUUACAUUCCGUAUAAUUUCUUCGCACACGGUGUUUCCUAAAAUUUACCACCACGAAAAACGGUUAUUAAGAAAUACAUAAUAAUGCACUGUAACGAUCGUGUAGGUUGUUGCGUAUUCAAUGUUAUUUUCGUUGGGCGCCACAUGGAUGAUACCGAUGUAUCGGGAGGAAUAAAAACUAUACGAAUUUUAGAGUUACUUUACAUAACAUAUUUGUGUAUAUAUCUUUAUUUGUUCGGAUCCAGUUGUACUUGACGCGAAUAUUGUCAUCGCAUAAUACGAUACACUAAUCGCCCCCUAUUAGUUGUUUGUAUCGACGAACUACAUAGCACCACAGUUGACAAGAACUCAAAGGCCCCGUACUCCGUUCGUUGUAUGUAUGCUUACACCCGCCAACCAUAUUAUUCCUUGUUCGUAUUGUUCGUGGUCCACGUAUGCACGCUUUGUAGAUUGAUAAUUCACGCAGUUGCAAGUAAUAGGUAUUCUUACUAAAGGGGUUUUUUUUUUUUUUUUCCUAAAGCAAUUUCUCAACGUGAUAUAAAUUGCCAACAAUUUGAGAUGGAAAUAAUAGUGUAUGCGAACUCCUAUUAAAAUGUUAAUGUUUAACACAAAAUUAGGUUUUUUUUUUUUUAUUACCAUAAUUAACGAAUUUAAAGUCGAAAUACUUGGGUACUUAAAGCUUUACUAUAUAAUCAGUGAUGGUUGUUUUCAUAAGAAUACGUUUUGCUGUCUGCUAAUGAUAUUUCCGAGAACCCGCCCACCCGUAUCCGUUGAAGUAUUAUAACUUUUAGAAAUCAUACUUAGUAAAAAUCUAGAAAACAUAAAAGCUGGAGAAAAAUCAACCCCAUUAUGAUAUGUUAUGAACUCAAUAAAGUUCCAUCAAAUCAUGUUUUCGAUCAACUCAUCUACCCACCUAUACCAAAUGUUGUAGGUAUGUAUUGUGUCUGUUACUUCAGCAGCACUUUCGCCACUUGGUACCUAUAAUUCUUUUGUAUCUAGUAACACACGACGGUUUUGGAGAACACGUUUGUCCCAUACUGUAUUGUAAUAUACAAGACGCUAGGAAUGUUUAACAAAAAAAUAUAACAAUAUGGUUUUUUUUAAAACGGAUAAAAUUUGGAUUUUACGAUGGUGUUUAAAAGAAAGAAAAUCUACUUAUAAACUUUGAUUAUAAUAUUUUAUAUCGCAAGUACUUAUUAUUAUUAUUAUUAUUUUUUUAUAUAAGAAAAUCGGUCAUGUUCAUUAACUAUACCUAUGUUGCAGUGUACUUACCCGUGAUUUUAGGAAGAAGAAAAAAAAAAUUACAAAACGCUAUAUUUUUUUUUUUAGGUUAAGGACCAGUACAUAAUAUACAAUCGCGCGAGGUAAAUUAAUUAUUUUAAAAUCUCACGAAUAUUUUAUGCAAUACGCGUAUAUAUUUUAUAUUGUAGCGCUGCCUGUGUGCAUUAUUGCUGUUUUUCUCAGACUUUUUUUUUUUAGUACAUAUUUUAGUGUGUAUACUCGGGUAUUAUUUUUUCUCCGUUUUGUGCGUCUUCCACUCCAUUGUACCAUCUAUGAAUACGGGAGAAAAAAUAAACAGACAUACCUGCUUCGCCGACUUAUACAACGAGUAUACAGGGUCGUUAACUUAUCUCAAACGAGGGAUUUUCUCGAGGAUUUUAAGUGAAUUCGAUUUCUGUUUUUUCGUUUAGUGAAUCGUUUAAGUUUUGUUUUUACAAUGUUUUCGAAUUUUUACCCCUAAUAUUUUCAAAUAAAGGAUAUUUGUUUAAACAUUUUGAUAGGCACGCACCACAAUAUAUAAUAUUGGAUUUACUGUUUACGCAUUAUAGCAGUUUAAAAUUUAAACCGUCCGGAAAUUUGUUAAAACAGAGUUUGAAUGAUUUCAUGAUUAUUAAAAAAAAAAAAAAAAUCUAAUUUAAUUUGAUGAAAUCACUGGUUUGUGAUAAGUUGAUCACCCUGUAUAGUGAAUUCAAACGUGUGAGACAUUUGGUGAUACAGUACCUAUAUCUGUAUAAAACGUUCUUCUUCUCGUAUUUUUUUUUUUAUUUUGGUUCACAAUUAGGUACAAAGUAAGUAAUGAAUAGUGGAAUAAUUAACGUGUCUAAUUAUCGAACAAAACGAAAGCUAUGAGAACUAUGUUUAAAAACCAAAAAAAAAAAAACCUCACGUUCUAUUGUAAACUAAUAAUAAGCUAUAUAAAGGUAUAAUUUUGAAAGGUUUAACAUAACGUAUAAUAUUUAUAGUAUUUUGUUUGUGUUUUUGUUUGAUUUCCGUUUGAUUGCCAAUUUAUAAUAAAUGUUCGUGGAUUUAGUCAUUGCUGUGGAAAAUGAGUUACAAAACUAUACAGCUAAAGUUUUAAUAAACCUAUAUGUUCAUAAAAACUUCGAUAAAAAUAUUGUACCUAUCAGAAAAAAAAACAACAAUUUAAUAGUUACUAUUAAGUCCUUUUUAAUUACAGAGAAAAAAAACAUAAAACAUAUUUUAACGUAGGUAGGUGUAAUAAUAAUAAAUUAUUAUUAUUUUAAUCCUUUUUUGUAAAUCUGCUGCAGUUAAAAAAAUCUAAAAAUCCUCGCGAGUAAAACGAAUCAGUGAUGUGUAUAAAAUAAAAUUACAGGAUGCUGCUCGUGGGUAUAGGCCUCAAUUGUGUGUGGGAAGUUGGGAUGGGAGGAUAUUGUAUAGAGUAAUUUAGUUUAGGUAUAUGUAUUUGACGAUUAAUCAAAAAUCGAUUCUGAACGAAGCUCUGUACAUCCGUAAUCGUCAGAUUGGCAAUUUUUAAACUAAUCUCGACUUUCUUACGGCCAUCAUAUAGUUUAUUUUUCCAUGAAAUAGUUCAUUGUACCAUGAUUUACUCUGCGUGACGUCAGUUUCGAUGCGCACUGUUAUCUUGCUGUCAUGCUUGUUUAUUUGGCCACGGUAACAAUUAACCGUGGUAACAAUCACCCGUGUCUCAUUCACAUACUUCGGACCACAGUAUUAUAGAUGCGGCCAUUGGUAGUGGUUCGAUAUCGACCUUUUAGCUUUUACAUUUUCAUUAACAACGGCGCAAUUAUGGCAUCUUGUUAUGCGGAUCAAAAACACAUUUGAAUAAUUAGGGCCUCAAAUAACGCGUCCCCCUUAUAUUUGUCGAAUAGAUUCGAAAACGCAAUAUUAAUAAUUAGGACUAGGAAAUUACAGUAGCAGUAUCGUAUUAUUGUUCUGUAGGUAUGCUCUGGGUUUGUAGCAGAUCGAGCUAGAAAUCCGUUCUAUACAAUGGAGAUUGUAAAAAUCCGAAUAUUUAAAACGCUUAUUUGGUCAAUUUUAGGGAAAAAGCGCAUAUUUCAUGUUGCAUAUUAAUACCAUCGGUUUUUAUAAUUCGUAUUCAAUAUUAUUUAACGUAUUUAUUUAGAUAUUUAUAUAAAUACUGAAAUAAAUUUCGUUUUAACCAUUUGUACAGAUGGUUCUUUUUUUGUUUUGCAUAUUUAUUAAACGUUUUGCAUAUUAUUUAAACGUACGUUUCGCAUACAUAUUCUAUCGAUUAGGACGUUUAUUUUCGGUUACUUUUUUUCCCCGUUCACGUUUUGCCAAAUUCGUCUCCCGUAACUCCCUACAAUCAUAAUUUUAGUACGGCUACUAUUGUGACUCCGGUUAAAAUCUUCUCUUCGUUGUUGUUGUUGUCGUCGUAUGUGCGCGAGACGCGACCAACAAUAAGUAAUUAUUAUUAUUACUAUUAUUAUACGAUUCGGGGUUUUGUACAAAUAUUAUUAUUAUUAUUUAAGCAGGCAUUCCGAAAUCCGGAAUUUCCGGUAUGCCGAUGGUUUAUGUUUAGGUGUACACUAGUAUACCUGUACGUUGUGUUGUAUACACGUGGAGGUAAAACACGGUUUGGUGCGCAAACACGACGACGACGACGACGACCGACGACGGCGGGUCCGAUUCGCCGGUAACCGUGGUUAGGUUAUUGUAUAUACGUGUAUAAUACUAUACACGCGUAUCGAAUGAUGAGGAGGCGACGGCGGAAGGAAAGGAAACCGUUAUACGGUCUCUUUAUUUUAUUAUUAUUAUUUUUACAUUGUGUCACGUACUCGUAUAUUAUAGCAGGAAGGUACACUUUACUGCGCGCGCGGGAUUUUGUCUGCGAAACCCGCGCGAGUUUGUCAAAAUAUUAUUAUAAUAAUAAUAUUGUUGUCUAUACCUUUAUGAUUAUAGCGGUCAACCGGCGAAAUUGUAAAAUCAUUUUUCUUUAAUUAAAAAACAACUCUCCCGCUUUUUAUCAUUAUUACUGAUUGUAAAUUUCGCGCGCUCAGGAUUCGGAUGACCGCGUUUCGUCCUAUAAUUAUUAUUAUUUGUCGGUCGUAAAUUUACAAUAUCCGUCCGUUUUUUUUUCGCCCGAGUUUUUCGAUAUGUUACAAGUUACAACUCCCGUCGUUCAUAUAAACGCGCGUUCGGACCGCGAAACCGUAUUACCUACUUAUAUUAUUAAGAUUAUUAUUGUAUUCGUGUUCGCGGCGAAUUCACAGACACAAUUUUAUUAGCAUACGAUAUCAUUACAUCGGUGUAGCCGACAAAUUGACAUCGAGAUAUUCCGGCUUCAAAACGUACAAAUCUCGCCCAGACCCCUCGAAAAAUCGCGUCAGGUGUAAACAAAAAUAGGAGUAAAAGGCAAAAGUCACGUCGGGCAGGUCAAAUCUUGAAGUUGAAUUGAAUAGCCGUUGAAUCUCGUUUAUCACGGUCCAGGGUCGUCAAUUCGUUAGCAUUAAAUUUGUGCCGAUAAUGAAUUCGAAUUUCUAUAGGCAUUUGGUAAUUUUCUCUUUUCGGGGUUACUGUUUGGUUUACUGUUAUAGACGUAGAAAGUAUUUAAAAGGAUUAAGUAGAUUUGUUAUAAGGAUUUUCCAACACAUAUGCAGCAAUUUAUACCGACAUUUAGUCCAAUCGAUAAGCGUUCUGAAAACUGAAAAUUUGACAUGCAAAUUUGGAAAUUUUUAAAAAUGUUUAAGAAAAAACUUAGUCACCAAUGGUCAUACAAUAUUGUUCAAUUCGCGUCAAAUUAAGAAUUUGUUUUCAGAACUUUUAUUUUCGUUUCACUAUAUCAUCGAUCGGACAAAAAAAAUGUGCGUUUCGAUUGUUUCGAGGACAUUAUUACCCGCAUUGAUUGUCUCAGUCCGAUUAUUAGUCUUAGAAUUACUAAGAAUUACAAUUUUGUCAUUGUAAGUCGCGGUCGAAGUUUAAAUACAGGACGGUAACGAAAUUUAAAGACCGAAAGAUAUUUUCCGCGUUGUUUUUUUCUUCAAAAAAAUAUUCUACAACAAAAUAACAAAAAAAAACCCCCUACCAUACGUUCGUAACUCUUUUGAUUGAUAAUAUUUUGGAAGAAAAACAACGCGGGGAAAUUUGCAUCUCGUUAAAUUUCGUAACUUGUGUUGAAUUUAAAUUCGACCUAAACGCCAUGAUAGGUACGUAUGCGGUCUUUACUUUUUUUUUUCUUGGCCUCUGAUUGGGCACAUUUUAUAUUCGUGUUUUUCUUCGUUAACAAAAAUUGUAAUGUAACAAUAUUAUAUAUGUAUUUACUACAAUCGGUUGUACUUGAAAAUCGGUAUGGUUUUAAUUUUAAUGUUAUAAAUUAUUACUCUCGGUUAAUUAAUUUGUUUGUUUAUGCAAAUAUUUUAUAACUGCCUCUAAUUAUACGCCGUUCGCAUUGUUAUCGUAGUUUUAUUUUCGAAUAUUGUAUUUUUUUUUCUUUUCUUCUGAAUUUUAUUUUAAUAUCGAGUCGAAUUUCUCACGGAUAUAAUAACUACUUUACCAUAAUAAUAUUAUAACAGGCGGCGUUUACAUUAUGUAUUAAUUUUUUGAAUCCGCUCGUUUUUUCACUAACCGAAUUUAUGAAAAAAAAUAUAAUAAUACUACGUACUAUGUAUAUACUCGUAUACUAAUUUUACGACGGGAAUGCGCACAUAGCAGUCGCUACUAAAUAAAUGAUUUUAGUCUCUUGGAAAAUACGUUUAAAAAAAAAAAAAAAAAUUGGCUAUAGGUUUUUUUUUUUGUUUGUUUUCGUUGUCCGUUCUUUGUAUCGCAAACAAACGCGAUAAGACGACGAAAUAAUAUAAUGAUUUUGCUUUCGUCAACAAGUUCUUUGUGUACAGACAUACAUGCAUACAAACGAUUAUAUUCGUUCGAAAAAUUAACAAUCAAAUAUCAACAGUAUAUUCUUAUACCUAAUAUUUCUUAGACGUGUUUUUUUUUUGUAAUUUUUUGCGAUUGUUGUCACGAGAAUUGGCGUAAAAAAUCGUUCUCGAAAUUCAAUUUGUAUAUUCCAAUCCGGACGCAACCGGUGAUCGUAUUGUAACAUGACAAAUAUUAUCGACGUCAUUGUGUAUAUAAGGUUAGUUAGAAUGUCACUUGAUUACUGCCUGCGUUUCAUAAUUAUAAACCGUUUUCUUUGAUGUAUACGAUAAAAAAAAAAUAAUAAUAAUAAUAAACGCUGAUAUAGUCGAGAGAGGUAGAGCCACAGAGAGAGAAAUAUAACGAAGAGGAAACUCGUGAUCUAAAAACGAACAUUUAUCCGUGAAAUUAGUGUAAUUAAUAAUGAUAAUUUUGAACAUCGGUGUCCUUGAACCGAUACAAGUAGAGGAUUUUCUUUUUUCAUCCCGCGGCAGAACGUAUAUGGGCGAAUAAUUUAUCGACCCAUGCUUAUAUAAUACCGACCCAUACCGUAUACCUACUAUAUAUAUAUAUUUAUUUUUUUUUUCUUCAAAAGAAAUACCUUUAUACGAAAAAUGAAAAAUCGCAUCGGGGAUAAAAAUUUAAAUUGAUAAAUAUGUAAAGUUUAUUGAAAAAUGUUUGUUUGAACGGUAUACCCCGUUCAAUAAUAAGUAUACCGGCGAGGCCCAAUUUUGGCGGAUAUUUUUUAUUUUUCUACGCGUGCGCAAUUUUCCGAAUGUUAUAACUCGUUUCGAAUAUUAAAAAAAAAUAUUAAUAAUACAUUCGAUUCGAAACUGCGCUUAGUUAAGUAGAUAAUAUUAUAAUAUUGUCCUCGCAAUACCGUCCUUUGCGCAUUAGCAGACGUCGUAUAUUAUACUUAGGCACCUAUAUUGUUUUACAAAAAUAAUCCACAAGUUUAUGCCCGUGUACGUGAAAACCUUAAAAAGAAUAGGUUAGUAAUUGAUAAAAUAUCGGUACUGUUUUACUAGGUUAUUAUAGGAAAAAUGCCAAUGGUUCCUUAUAAUGUUUCGUCAGUGGAUAAUACAAUUUUAAUUUAAAAUAUAUGUGUUCGCCUAACCAUUAGUUUCAAUGGCCAUGUGCAUGGAUUUUUUAAAAUACGUUUCAAUAUUUUUUUACUUUUUCAGCAGUUUUACAGAGUCAUAUCGAAUUUCUCAUACUUUAUACCCCGCAUUUUUUAAUGCUUGUGACGUCAAUUUUUCAUAUGUAUAAAAUGUCAUUAAAAAAAAAAAAUAAAUAUAUUUUAUUCUUAAAAUCGACCUGAAACUUUUAAACGUUUUCUGCGACACUAUUUGUGACGUACCUGUCAGUCAUAAACCGCGUUCAGUAGUGUUUUAGGUUAUUCUGGUAUACCUGAAUACUAUUAGGGCGUUAAUUUUUAAUUUUUAAUAGCUUUUCAAAAUAGAAUUCGGUUGGAGUAAUCGUACGGUUCAACGUCGUAGCCGUUGUUUAGUAUAGGUAUACAUUUAUUUCGAAAAACUGCUAUGGGAUUUUCUAUAAUAAAAUAAUAUCGAAAUAGUAGUUCGAUUCGGUCUGCUAAACUUUGGAAACCAUAACGUUAUAACGAUAACCGUCAUCGAUAUCCGGCUUAAUCCAUAUUGAUAACAAAAUUAUCACUAUCCGGUAUCCAUAAUAUGUCCCUUAAUUCAUCUGUGAUGGCAACUCACUGAAGGCACCUUGAAGUGAUAAGGGAACGUCGUUUUUUCGGUGUGAUCAUGAACAUAAUCUACAUAAAUACACCAAGCAAAUUUAAGAAUGGAAUCGCCUAUUUCUUGUGUUUCAUAAUUAAAUUGUUAAUUGAUUGUUAACUGUCGAAUGCCGCUUAAACUGAAAACGCUAUUAAUCCAGCUAUCAAAUCAAAAUAAUGUUAAACGUCGUAUUCGGGACUUGAUGAUUUUAAUCCAAACACUCUACAAUGACAUUGAUUACAGAUCAUACGAAAUAAUCGAAUUCUUUGUAUGAUUAAAAAGACGCGAAUAUCACACGAAAUGAAAAUAAUUUGGAAAAUCAAUGUUAUCACCGUAAAAUAAAUGAAAUAACAACCACAUCUAGUCCAUCAAAUCCAAUAAGCCGACGCGAAAAUAAAGUAGUGAUAAAAGAUGUUUCUAUCGGCGCCAUCCAUAGACAUAAUAAUAGAUGGACUGCGCGUUCCUACUCCCCGCCCUCAAUAAAUUCGGACGAAGCACGUUUGGACCAAGAACGUUUGGGCCACUAAUAAAACUGCAACCCGUCUGGACCAGGAUUUAGUGAACCCAUUUGGACCAAUACUUUUAAAUUUCUAUAAAGGCUCGCUAAAUAAACGUUCAGUUAAACUAUUAUAAUAACAAUUCUGGUCCAUAGAUAAUCUAUUAUCUAUGGUUUUAUAGCGUUACAUAAAAUGGUAUUAAUUGGGGGAGGGCCUGUGUGAUGCGAAUUUUUUUAACUUUUUGAUAGGAACAUUUUAGGCCCCGUUAUAUUUGGGCGGUUUAUAUUACGUUCUAAUAGCGUCUUCCUCUAAACUAACAAACAAUUGUAACAUAAUGAUAUUUGCCGUUUUAUCGCAAUAAUAUAUCGUUAAUUUGACGUAACGGCGUAUCGAACUAUAAUGUACAGAUCACAUUCGAAAUACUUAACAAUAAUAUCGUAACCGGCACCGUGUUUAAAUCGACGGUGUAAUUUUAUUUUAUGCUCGUGUAGAUAAUAUUGCACUACGCCGUCACGCGGAAUUUACGUUAUCUACAGUAAUGGCGGCAGGUGAUAGCAUAGGCAAAAAGUGUGCGCGAGUGCGGUCACACGGAAAACGCUGUAAGACAUUACAAUAGUUUUUUUUUUAUUAUCCACGGCCGAAUCGAACGUAAUAAUAUAUUCGAUCCCGUUUAAUAAAUCCGUGUGUCAUCUGUGUGUAUAAUAAUAAUAAUAAUAUUAAAAUCGACCGUGACCCGUGUUUUACACAGGAUGUUGGUAUUUAGCGGGGCUUAUCAAACCGUACUCGGAACGGCACUCGGAUCGCGCAUUAUCGGUUUUAUAGCAUUCGUCUUGUUUGUCUUACAAUUUAUUGUUUAGAUAUUACAGUUUAUAAUAGAAAAUUCAAUAUUGACACGAGUUAUCGGUUUUAAUUGUAUACAAGCGUUAUCGAGUUUCUUUCAAAUGAGUCAUUCGUUUAAUGUAUUUGGAUUUUUGAAGAAAAAAACCAACGGUUUCAACUAUCCGACUGUUCGUUAAAGCGCAGUUAAAAAACUGUUAUUUAUCUCGUUACACAAUUAAACUAUACUUUAUUUGAAAUUUUCAUUCGAAUUCCCUCUCCCCCUUUUCCCAUUUAAACAAAAAUCCGUUUCAAAAAUAUCAACAAAAAACCUCUACUGCGAAAUUUCCGUAGAUUUUCGCGCAAUUAAAUCAGUCGCAAAAUUUAAUUAUUAUUAUUCUCGUUUCUCCUUAAUGAUCAACCACUCUUGGUUUCUUAAUUGAUAUCACGUGUCGGGCGUGUACCAAUUGCGCUUGACCUUUUUAAUAUUUUCCCCUCCCCAUCUCCCAUACGAACUGUUCUUACAAGUGUCGGUAUAACAAUAAACGGGUUGCCGUACAAUAAAUUCACAGUUAUAUUGCACUUACAUUACCGCCCAUAUUUCUCGGGCUUGUCUUCGAUAAUCUUCAAGAUAAAAAUAUUAUGAAAACCGUUUUAAACAAUAGUCAAUAAACAACAAAAAGAAACCAAAAAAAAUGUCCCAGGAAAAAAACGAAAUAAACAAUGUAAGUAACCCGUACUUAAUAAUAAUAAUAAAAAAAAUAAACUCAGAAUUUAAAACCAGUUUAACUAUAAUGCGUGAAUAUCUUCCUCGAUGGCUCGGGUUCAUAUGUUUUAAAAAUAACUGUCGUUUUUACGUUGGCAUACAAAUUAUAUUAAAACCUAACCUAUCCUAACCGGGUUUUCGGUACAUAGAAUUGUAUAAACCAUGCGUCGUGUAUAAUAGGUAAUAAUUUUAUGUCGAAUUACUACCGAUUUAAAUCUAAUUAUCUUUUAUCGUUGAUUUAAUGUGUAUAAUCAUAUAACAUUAUGUUUUUAGUGUCCCUGAAUCAUUUUUAUUAUAAUAUCUUAUUCGAUUUUAAUGUUUCGAAAAACAGUGUUUUCGCGUUACUGCUGGACCACGUAAGUAACUUGUUACAGUUAUAGUCAUUUAGUGCCUAUACAUUUUUGUUAUUAUUUAAGGGGUUCGAUGGCAACAUUUACUAAAACUAAAUGUUUACAAUUCAACGUAAAAGAUAAAAAAAACUACAACUGUAUAAUAUCGAGGUACCUGCUAUAUAGAAUAGGUACUUUUAACAAUUUACAAUCUUAUAAAUAAUAUUUAAAAAAAUAUAUAGGCUAGGUUUUUUAUAGUAUUAUAGUGUUUAAAAAUGCUUGCUGUGCAAAAAAAUAAAAAUAAAAAUACGAAGUUUAAACGAUUAUUGUUUAGUAUACUAUAACGAAACGUUACGAAUGCGCCUGUAGUGUUUCUUCUUGACCUAGUGAUGAAAUAUGAAUUGUCUUUAUUAUUAUUACUAUAGUUAUUUUUUUUUUUAACGAAUGAUUCAUAAAAUAGGUUUGACUAAUAACGAUGUUUUUUCUCUUACUGUAAAAAUGAAAACAUUAUUAGGUAUACAGGCAGGUAGGUAUUAUAUACUUAUAAUUUUGUCCGGGAAGGAGGAGGAAUGCGAUUUAUUAGUUCAAAUGUUCAAACGAUGGUUUAUAAUUUAUUUGGGUAAGUAACCUAUAUAAUAUUGUUCGCGCAUAAUAAACUCGGACGAUGUAAUGGAAUAAAAAGUUAUAAACCUUGGAAAUGAAAAUUGCAUAAAUAAUUUACGUUUAUAGCGUAAGUUAGGAAAAAAUAAUAAUUAUUAUUAUUUAUGUACUAUAUUUAUUAGAUAUAUCAUAAACGUAAAAAAUAUUGGACACCCUUUAUAUAUAUAUAUAUUAUAUUUAUAGCUACUCAGGUUAGGUGUUCUACAAAACGUGUCGAUUUUCGUGUCUGAACGCUCUUGUCAACUCGUAUUAUUGUCAUCGUGUAUACGAAUCGAAUAAUUUCCGUCCUUUUGGCGUAUUUCGAUUAACCUCGAACUGCGAUUUUAUUGUUUGAUAUUAUUGUAUUAGCAGUAUAUUCUUUAUAUUAUAUUCGACGAACCAGGCCUGAGCAUGUGGGAAGGUGAUGGGAGUUUGGGGGGUUCAAACCUCCUCUCUAAUUGUAUUUUUUUUUGCAUCCAAAUAGUUAUAGGUAUCGAGUUUACAUCUGCAAUACUCUCCUGAAGUGAUGGAAUGUGCGGUCGAAAAAUUAUAAUUGCGUUUUUGACUUUUAGUCUUACCAAUAAUUAUUAGUGUAUUUCUUUAUUUUGAUAAAUUGUUUCUUUCGUAACCUUCUCCCUUCCCCCUACACACACACAUAAAGAAAUCCUGCGCAAAGGCCUGCGACGAACAACGUCUAAUAUCGCCCGGGAAAUCAAUGAUAUUUAAUCAUAAUAAUAUAUUAGAUAUUUGGUGAUUGUAAAUUCUGUCUCCUCCCCCCUCUUCGACCGUCUUUAUACUCUAUAACGGCGGUACUUCGGGAUCGUACUCCGUCGUCAUUAUAAUAAAUUAACGGUUGGUCGUGAAGUCGUUUUGGUACGUUAAUCGUAUAUUAUGAGGUACACGGUUUUUACGACGCGAUGUUAAUAGACGUACACCGAGUGUAUUAUACUGCACACGUUGCAGGAGGGCGGCGCAGGAAAAAUGGCCGUAACGAAUUUCGUCUGGUAUACUCUGGUCGUCGCGUAAUACUAUACAUUGUAUUAUUAUAAUAUAUAUAGGUACGUUAAAUUAUAAUAAUAAUUAUACGUACAGGGUGAAUUGUUUUAUCACGAAUCUCAACGAAGAUUUCGAGUAUACAGAGGCGUUUUGUGCCAUGCUUUUCUUAUCUCGUUCUGUUAUCAGUAAUAAUUGGAUCGUUCGGUUCCGAGCGAUUUCAUAGCACCAAUUAAAAACGCGCAUAAUAAUAUAUUAUGUUUUAACAGUAUAUUUUUAAAUACGAGUAUACUUAAAAACUGAGAUUUCGUUAAAUACAAGCUACUCGAAGUAGUGGCGUUUAGUAAUAAAAUAAAUACCUAAGUACUUCUAUGUAGAAUGCAGAAUAUAAUAAUUUUGAAGUUAUUUUACAUUUAUGCGUAGAUUUUUAUUUGUUUGGAGAUCCAACUAUCACGGAUUGUUUCCUAUAUACUACUAUGUCACAGUAAUCGCCUCUGUUAUAGACUACGUCCAUUGCGUUAUUUCGCACAGAAUCGUUCAGAGUAGUAUUAUUUCCAGCGCCUGAUGUGUAUAUCGGGCCACUGCAGAAUUUUAGUAUUUUCGCACUCCUGAAUUCGCAUGAAAAAUAAUAGAUGUGAAAUUCACAUCUAGGUACAUUUUUAUAAUUAUCAUAAAAACUGAUUAUAUACUUUGAUGAACUUAACGAAUCGAUCAAACAAAUUUCCCGAAGCUCUUGAGCAUUACGUCGAAUGAGGUUGACAAGGUGUACCUAAACAUAUUUUCAAAGUUGUAUUUUAAAUUUUAUCGCCUACCUAUAUACAGUUAAAACAUCUAAGCAAGUUAAUUUUUUGAGUAUCGCUCGAAGAAUGUACAAUUCAAUUCUAAUAAACGGUGUUUUUCAUCAAUUUUAGACUCUGAAAGAAAAAUAUUGUUAUAAUAAUGUAUCAUACCGUAAUACUCUUAUACUAUUCCGGUUUAAAUUUUAAACUUCAUAACCGAUAUUGACGUCAAGUACUUGUGUAUAAGUUAUACCCAUCAUGUAGUUGCGUACAAUUUCUAGACAGUUAUCUUCUUUUAUAAAAACCGUGGAUUUGAAAAUCAAUACAUUAUGGUCGAUACCUAUAUUAUUUUUUUUAUGUUUAUGGGUCAAAUUUUGAAAAAUAUACAUAAUAAUAAUACAAUGUUUGUGUAAAUGUUCUGAUUUUCCGAAUGUAUAAUAAAUGACAAAAACCACUAGAAAUCUUUUUCGUACAGACGAUCACCCUGUAUAUAUGUAAUAUAUAUAGUGUACCUACAAGUUACUACGCGGUGUGUAUUUCGGCGACAAUGAAAUCGGGUAUACAACGUCACCGUGUCGUCGGUAUCUUCCGCAGCGUCACAUUUUUUUAGUUCUUUUUUUUUACGGUCUAUCGUGCGCGCGCGAAGGCGGGCAACAAAAAAACAAUACGACGAAAGCAUGUACGGUAUACGGUCCAAUGAAUCAUUUUCGAUACACGUUUUGCAAUAAUAAUAAAAAUAUAUUCGCUUCGGAAUACCUACGGAGUAAAAUAUAUAUAUAUAAAUUAUAAAAAAAAAAAAAAAAUGUCCGUCGGCCGUCGUUAGAUGAAUCAUCCGCGAACGAUACUAUAUAAUAUUAUGUAAGUUUAGAUUUGGCGUAUCGGACGGCGUUUCGUCAUUUCUCGACCGGAUACGGACUUCCCCCGUCUGAACGGUAUUAUUAUAUAUCCGCACGACAGGCAAAAUAUAAUUCGGUAACACGAUUUACGGAAAUCUUUUAUAGAGAGAGAGAUAGAGAAAAGGAACUAUUCUCGUGUCUCGAUUGUUACUCGAUGUGUAACUAAACGUCGCGAUUUUUAGAUAAAUACUUACGUUCUUCCCCCUCCAGUCGUAGGGGACUGAUCGCGAGUUGGUAUAGUUGGUAUAACUGAUACAGUUGGAUCGAUGACGUCAAAAGUGAAUCUAAAUUGUAAUUAUAAUAAUUGUCGUGAAAGAACGGGAAAUGAUAACUCAUGGUAUCACUAUCGUAUAACGUAUAACUGACGUGUCGCUAAUGACUCAACGGUAAUUUGAUGUCAGUAAACGUUGAAAUCGUGAAGUAAUAAUAAUAACCUGUAAAACUUUCAAAUUUUCUUAUUUUGUUCGGUGAACUUAUGUUUGGAUUUCUACGAAUAGAUGGAUUUCAGGUGCAUCGCGUGUUCGAAACCAGUUUAAAAUGCAAAACCAACUCCUAUAUAACACUAUGAUAGGAUAGUCCAAUUUAAUAGGGUUUUUUUUUUUUUAGUUUUCGAUGUCACUGUGCGUUUUUUUUUAAACUAGUGCGAAUUUACGCAAAUAAAAUUUAAAAUAGAACAUUUUACUAAAAAAAAUAUCCUAAUUUAUUAUUACAUAUAUAUAUUUUAUAGCUUUACGAGCAAUUUUUGACUUUAAGCCACUAUAUAAAAUUAUUAUAAACGUUUCCCAAUUCCCAGAUUAAUGAGCUGUGCAAAAAUUCCGUCCAGUCCAUUACGAUGACGGCUAAUAUAAAAAGGCUCGGCUUGGCUCUUGAACCCAAUCGAAUUAUAAAAUACAAUUUUCAAAUCGCGUGUGCAAAAUACGUCUAAUAUCACACACGCGUUUGUAGUGGAAGUAGAGGAAUGACAUCAAGGCCGGGUGAAGUUUACUAGCUGUUUUUUUUUUGUUCUACGACUUAAUCAAUCAGCAAUAGAAUAAUAUAUUCCUCGACGACAAAAUAAUUGCAUAAUAAUAUCGAUUUGAAAAAAAAUGAAAAUAAAAUAAGAACGUAUUUUCGAGUAAAAGCUAUAUAUGAAUAAUCAAAGUUAUUAUAAUAUCUACCGAGAAUAACGAGUCUUUAUAGUUCAGACAUAAUUUAUUAUUCCGUAAUUUUAUUUAUGAAUUAUUAUUAUAACGAUAAAAUUAAUAUUUCUUAUAUAUAAGUGUUAUAAUAUUAUAGCGAAACUAUUGUAACUUUUGAGACGUUUACUAAUUUAGUCGACAAUAUAUACGUUAUUUAUAAUUUGCGUAAGUGGUAGGUAGUGCAUAUAUAUAUAGAAAGAGAGCUAGGUUUUUUUUUUUUAUAUAUAUAUUAAGUGUAUUUUAACGAAGGCGAGCGGAUCAAUUAAUCAACGUUUAACGACGGUUGAUAUCAUUAUAAUUUUAAGACCUUCGAAAUGUCGCGACGUUCUUUAUAAAUUAAUAUCGUGAACGAUAUAAUAGAAAUGGCCAAUUUUAAGAUUUUCCGACGACUAUAUUAUAGACCAUUAUAUUAUACUUUUCGAUGACCCGCACGCGUAUACUUUUUUUUUAUUAGGUAACAUUAUUGUUGCGUAUUUCAGAUCGACGAUAACAACAUCAAAGGUCCCGCCACCGCGAUUAACGACGCACCGCGGUUUUCCAUCGAUAAUAAUUAAUAUGUGAUAAGACGACCCUUCCCCCACUCAAACUUAUUGCACUCUUACGUACACACGGAUGUACAUGACGUAUACAAUAAACUAGAUUGCCAUAUUAUUAUAAUCACAUUAAUGGUUUCGGCUAAAGCCGCACGGCAGCCGUUAAAUUCGAGGCCCGUGCCCUUGGUGUAUACUUUUAUAUUGUGAUAACUGUUGAAUCGGUCUUUUUACCGCGGUGACCAAGACCGUGAUUGUACAUUCGGCACGAUAUAAAAGUGAUAAGGCUAACUAAAUUUUUUAUCGCCAUUUCAUUCGUAGUAUCCACAGUAAAUACUCUUAUUUAUACAAUUUAUAAUAAGGUCCUUUUUUGCUCUAAACUUAGUCGGAGAGUCGCAAUCGUAGGAAUGCGUGUGUUACUAGCACAUGUCCGACAGGGAAAUACAAUGUCACAGUGAAAAAGCCCCUUAAUAAAUAUCAAAAUACUAUAAUAUACGUUAAAAAUAAAACUUAAAAAACGGUCGAUUUACUUGCAUACAAUUUUGUUUUGAAACAACACUAGUAUCACUAGAAAGACUAAUCUUUCUAAAAACCUAUAUGUACCUAUAUUGUAUACAUAGGAGCAAAAUUUUUAGGAAAACGUGGUUGGAUGCAGUAGAAGAUAGGUCUAAAAACCGUAGGAGUUGAUAACUGGAGAGUAGUAAAGUGUAGUAACGACAAAAACUCUUAAAGACUAAAGAGAACAUGCCGGAAGAAAAAGACAUUUGGGUACCUUUAUUACAAACAGUAAAUUUGUAAAAAUAUUGAGCGAGUGUCGGAACCGCGCAUAUAGAAUGCAAAAGGUAACAUUUCGAUUCGAGACUUUUAAUUAAAACGUAAUAAUUUAAUAUUGAUGAUCAGUGCUGUGUCCGAAAUUGUUGUUUUAAUCCACUCUAAGUACACGGACGAACCGGGCGAAGGAACGUUUGCAAAGUGGACGACGCUAAAAUCGGAUUAUGUGCGCGUGAAAGACAAUAAUUAAUCCGGUGGUAUAUUUCUCAUUUAUUUGUACGAGUGCGAGUGAACUCUCCUAUUACCUACGUACCCGUACUAGAUUAGGUAUACACUUGUGUGGUCGAAAAGCGAAGGGAGGACGAGGUAGUAUAUAGAGCUGCAGCAGGCACGAGCGGAAUGGACUUGGAAAUCGAAUUAUUAUCGAGACAGGACAUUCUAUAAAUUAAGUUAUAGAUAUAUAGUCGUGUUGUCAAUUAGUUGAUUUACGCUUAGGUGCAAACGAAAAUGACCUAAUACCCGACAAAUAAUACGGAGACUUGUAUUAUUUCUCGAACUAAAUAAUAAUUUACUAUUAAAACUGCAGUCUGCAAUAAUAAUAAUAUAAAAAUAACAAUAGUACUAAGAUCACGAAAUCGAAUAAAUACGACGUUUAAAAUUAUUAUUUUCCGGCUAAACUUCAAUCGAGAAUUCGGUUAUGGUCUGCAGGUCGAUGCGAAUAAUAAUUAGAUUAAAAUAUUGUUUCCGAAUAUCUGUGCGUGUAUAUUUCCUACAGAAUCGAUGGGAGUUGCGGUUAAAUGCAAAGCGCACAUGCGCAUAUGUAGGGUCAAAGGGGAUAAUACUUAAAGCUGAGUGAUUGUAAAUCCCACGAUUAGAGGAUUACGUACCUAUACUGCAGGCGAGAGGGAUAACGUUUAAACUUUUAAAACAUUUAUGUAUUGUGAUGCUGCGGACGACGAGGAGACUCAACAAAAGCCACCACCAUCACGUGAAAAUGUUCCGAACUUUCGAAUAAAUAUACACGUAGAGAUACAUUACCGGGUGGGGGGUGGCGGUAGUGGCAGUGGCGGAUUUCCGCUGUAUAUUUUAUAUACUAUUCUACGUCGUUUAAUUUGAGAUCGCAGACGGUGACGCGAACAUAUGUCGUAAGCAUAUUCUAUUAAAAUUGUACAACACUACGAUUUGUCACUGGGUCCAAAAACGAUAUUGUUCUAAAAUUGUAUUUCAAUUUGGUAUACUUAUGCUAUAAUGAUAAAUUCUAAACCGAAAUACCUAACCAAAUCUAAAUAAACAAUCCACACCGAGAAAAUCUGAUUAGAAUCUUUAAUCGGUGUUCAAAAAGAUAAUUUGUGUUUAUAAUAUACAUUUUGAAUACAUAUACUCGUACAGUAUAAAGUUUUUAGAGAAACAAUAAACCGUCGAAAAAAAAAAAUCAGCUACAUCCAAAUUUGAUAUUGCUCUAACAAAGUCAGUGUCCUAUAAGUGAAAACAGUCGUUUAAAAUUACCCACUUCGGAAUGAAAUAAUAAUGGAGGUUGUAAAAUGAAAAAUGCCACGUUGGUCACAUUUUGAUGUAGAAGAGUCGCGUGGCAACAGUAAAAUGUUAUGUCUAGCCGUGUGACGUUGCGGAUUAUAUUUGAAAAAUAUUUUGUACGCGAUUCGAUUUGAUAACUGUUAUCGAAUUAACGAUAUAUUACGGUAAUUCGACAUUAAUAAAUUAUGUUCCACGUCAUACUAUAUAAUACCACUCGUGGAUUGCGAUAUCACUGACCGCGUUUAGUGUCAGAUAAAAUACGUUACGAUUCUCAUAAUCAGCCGUCAUCUUUAUCGAAUAUUGAUGAUAAGCUAAAUUAUACAAGUGCAUUAAAGAUUAUACUAAUAGUUCCAAGGAGAUUCAAUAAGUUUAUCACUUAUCUAUGUUAUUAUUCGCGAAUAGUUAUAUAUUAUUUAUAUAUAUAUAUAUAUACAGGGUGUGUUUCUUUGAGAAGGGCAUCUAUUUAGAGAACAAUUAAAUUUUUAGUUUUUUUCCUUAAUCACACAAAAAAAAAAAAAAAAAAAAAAAAAAAAAAACUAAUAAAAGUAAUGAAUUUACCGUGCUGAUUUUGAAUCCUUAUCGGGUUAUUCUAUUGAAAAUUAAUUGCUUUCUCGCCUAUUUUCUAGACAUUUAAACGGCUAUAACUCACAAACUAUCGAUCGAAUAUGAAUGUAUGAUGUAUUAUUUUUUUUAGAAUGAUAUCUUUUACAAAGUGGCUAUUUUGAAAAUUUUGUAAAGUGAAUAAAUAAAGUUAUUUUAUUUCUCCAGUGGUUAGGGGAUGAAAAUAAAAAUGUAAUUUUUCUCCAAAUAAAUGCCCCUUUCAAAGAAAAACAGAUUGAAAAAAAAAUGUAUUAAUUUUUAAUAGCUCUAGAAAAUCCGUCCAACACGGUAGGACACUCUGUAUAUGGUAUUUUUAAAUUAUUCCGUUUUGUCGCCUGAUUUGCGUUGCAGUCGUCGUGGAUUUAAAUUUGAAUAAUAGUGUCACUAUUAUAUUCUAAAUGCUACCGCAGUAGAAUGUCGUGGAGUAAAGGUCUCCCCCACACUAACCGCCGAUCACAUUAUAGAGGUUAGGUUAGGUUUCUCCGUUCGUGUCGAGACGGCGGCUAUAUUAUAUUAUAUUAGCGUUGAUAAAAUAUUGUUAAGUGUGACGAAAUUAUCGUUGUCGUAUAUACCUACGUUAUAGAUGACGUAGUAUAGAAUAUCGUAGAAGUCACGAUUUUCAAUAAUGUGAAAUGGCUAUGACGUAAUCGGCUGUCUGCGCAGAGCUCCGCGGGCACGAGUCGUUGCACAAGUCUUUUGAAAAUUACAAAUAAGUAAUAUACAUAAUGAACCUAUAUUGUAAUUGGAAUAACGAUUAAAAUAUGUAAGCAGAAAAAAAAAAAAACAAACGGAUAUGCUUCGCACGAUUGGUGGGCCACUGUUGUAGGUGAGAACUAAGGAAGAUAGGGGGAAAAUUUAAUGUAUAUAUAUAUAUAUAUAUAUAAAUAUUUGUACGCAAACACUACUAAUCAAAAACGAUUCUGAGCGGAGGUCGGUUGUACAUGUUUCCAAAGGUCGUAAUAAUUACGAUUUGAAAAUAAUGCAUUUCGUACAUUUUCUCGGAUUUUUCAAUUUAUUGUGAAAACUUCUGGGAAAAUCAAAAAAUUUCCCUAAAGUACCGACCCAGUCAGAUUACCUUUCAGAAAAAGUUUUACACUUGAAAAUCGGUAUGUUGUAUAGUGAUAAGUAUAAGUACCUCUAAUAAGUGGUCACGAGGGGGAAAAUUUCGAAAGAAUAAUCGAGUUUUCUCUUGUAGACUUUGAUCGAUCGGUGAAGUGAGGAAUACAUUCUUGUUUUACACUCGAGGUUUACUACAUAAUUUAUGAUAUGUGAAUUUUUUUUUUUUUUUUGACGCGCAUUUUGCAUAUUUAAGUACAUUUGCCACCUUGAACAUUUUGUUGUUUUAUUAAUGACCGAAAUCUUUUUUAUUUUGUUCCAGGUUAGUAAUAAAAGUGUAUACAAUGCCUACGGGGAUUUGUUCUACGAAAACAAAACGUGUAAGCAAACGUCUUCGAAAGUGUAGUAAGUACAUAUGCAUAUAUACUUGAAAAAUAUGUAUUCUACCGGUGUUUGGAGGCUGAGAUUUUAAUUUCAAAAACUGUUCGUCAUUAGCGUACUAUUAUUUUUAUUAGUAUUUAAGAUCGUUUAACGUUCAAAUCUCUGUUCGACUUAAAAUUCGAUAAAGUUCGUUUAGAACGCGAACAAUUAUUUCGAAAGGUUUUAAAAAUUUUUCUUCUUCUGUUAUCUUUACCGUUCCUUAUGUCUAUGGCCGACACGCGUCAAUUACUAAAAAAAAAUAACAUUUAAAAACUACUUAUGUAUUUUACAGUUGAAAAUCAAUAUGACGUUUUCGAUUUGAAUUUAAUGAAGAAAAAAAUAUUGUAUGACCGAGCAGUCAAAACAGUAGAUACCUAUUUUGUCGACUGUAAUAAUUUAUCGUUGAUUUUGUAAGUGCGGAAAAAAAUGGUCUCGUGUAUAAAUAUAGGUAUUUCUUUAUGACCUUAUUUAUAAUCGUGUUUUUUAUCGUACAUAUGUAGAAGGUCACGUCGAAUUCAUAAAUAUUACGUAUGCGGGAGUCUUAACUUUUCCCUAUCAGGACAGUAGGUAAAUAUAUAGGUAGUACACAAUAACAAUAAUAAAAUACGUUUCGUAAGUUUCCUCGUGUUUUGCUCGGGAGUUAGUUAGGAAUUUAAAAAAAAUGUGUAUUUCAUACGAGUAUUUUUCUAUUAUAUACCCAUACAGUUCGAAUAUAUUCAAAAACGAAUGGAUAUUUUCCGGAUCACUGAAGUACCCAUAGACAUAAUAAUACAAGAGUCGUCAACAAUAGCCAUUUUUCGCACGGACUUUCCUCACGGUUUUUAUAUUUUGUAUUUUAUAAUUGUUUUCUUUUUUUUGCCUAACGAUUGUAUUUCGCUUUAUUAAAAUAUUUUUAUGUAUUUUAUAAUAUUUACUAUGAAAUCGUUUUAAAACGAAUGCAAUUUCGAACGGAAAAACGGUAGGAAAAGUUUGGACGAUAAAUGGCUGCUAUAUCUGCAGUCUUUCACUCUCUUCGGGGGGGGUAUUUAAGAGGGUAGAUUAGGGAGAUACAUCUCGCCCCUUGACAUUUUUAAUAUUUCAAAAUUCAAUAUCCCUCCUUGACAAAAUAUAUCUAGGCUUUCUAAGGUUAUACCCAUACAAUAGUAUUACAACAUUUUGUAGGUAUACUUAUGUUUUUUUUCCCUUUCGUCGUUUAUCGAUGGUCAAAAUUAAAAUCGGUUUUUUUUUCACCCGCGUGUAUAAACUGUGCAACGGUUCGAUUGUACUCGCGUGCAGUAUAUAUAUACUCGUAUGUUCGUAAACUCAUCGCAGCUUUAUUAUGUUCCCCUUUUCCGAUUGUUUUUCAAACGAACCGGAAAUUCUUUCACUCUGUAUACGUUGUUCAUAUAUGGAAAAAUACUAUACAAGUGCAUCACUCGUGUCCAAAUAUCAUAAUAUACCAGUGCAUUAUAAUACGUAUCGCGCAAUAUUAUUAUCGGUCCGCGUAAUAACGGGUCGUAUAAGUUACAAAUAACGCGGGGCCGAGCGUAUAGACGGGGGUCUGGAAGUGAUACGUAGCGCUAUUUCUCUGUAUUAAUAAUAAUACAACAGCACACCUCCCCUUUUACCCCGGCCCGCACUUUUGUGCCCGAAGCGAACACUCGAUAAAUAUAUAUUAAGGGGAAAGGACGCGCGCGCGUGUGUGUGGAAUGUGUGUGUAUGUGUGUGUGUGCGCGCGUGCGCUUGUAAUUUCACUGCUCGGAUAGUCGUAUUAGUAUACAUUAUAGUACUGUCUCCUUAUCUCUGUCUUCCAUUUUUUUUUUUUUUUUUUUUUUAUAAAAAUAUUAUGUUACAAAAUAUUACGUAUCUAUAUAUACGUAUCUCAGUGAUUUUUACGCUCGUUAUUUAGGCGGUAUAUGUAUAGGUAUUAUCUUAAUGUUAUGUAUAUGAGUAUAAUGAGUUUAUUAUAAUGUAUACCUACCUACGUACGUAGUAUUUAUAUAUAUAUAAUAGAAUUCGUACAAAAACCGUUUUAUUUAUUUUGCGUAUCGUCCAGUGGCGCGCGCAGGAAGGGUUAUAAAUAUAUAUGCCUCCCAUCGGCUUAAAAAAAAAAAAAAAAUACAAUGACUGUGAGCAUAAUAUAAUUUAGUAAUUUUAUCUCGAAAUUAAAAUACGUUGCAGCCAUAAGUUAUAAGGACAAAAGAAAAUUGUUCGUUUUAUUGGUUAAAAAUCCGCUUUUUUUUUUUAAUCCGGCUUUUAAAUUCUCAUUGUACGAAGAUUCUACGAUUUAUUCGUGAAUUAUAAUUACUAUUAUUUACUAUACCAUCUCUCAUUGAAAAUUCCUGGGCACGCCACCGGCAUUAUUAUAUCGUUCACAUUAUAAAAUGUACUGCCGUCGAAAGAACAUGGAAAAUGUAUUAUUUAUAUUAGGUACGUAGGUGUAAAAAAAAAAAAAACUCCAUUCUUAUAAAAAUCAUUUAAAAUAAUGUUUUCAAUGUUCAGUAUCUUUUAGAUACAUCGCGUAGAACAAUUUUGGUGAUUUGUUUUUGUCCUAAAUCCACACAAACACUAAUUCUUUGUGUAACGUGCAGUAUGUGAACAGCCACGGUCUAUAACCUAACAUAACAAUCACGUACUUAAUUCUGUAAAAUAUCAUAUUCAAAUUAAGUUUUAAAAGUAAAAAUAUUUGUACAUGGAAAAAAAAUUCAAACCGAUCGUUUUGGGCGUCGUCCGGUCGAGAUUUUUGUUUUACUAUAACAUUGGCGGUAUAGUUACUCACAAUCUUUAUAAUAUCAGAAAUGCGUUAAAAUAAUGGCGCAAACGUCUAAAAGUCAUAUAUUACCCAUUGAAAAAAAAAAUUAUAAUACCUUAUUAUAAAAUUAUUUGGAGCGUUCAAUUUCACAAUAACGGGCAUUCGUCAAAACGGGAUUUGUCUAAAAAACAAAUUUAAAGGUAUCUGUAUAAUGUAUAAUAAUUUUUUGAAGUAUAAACUAUACUUGGAUUAGAGGCUUACGGGUGCGCGUUCGUCCGGCCUCGAAUACCCGUUGUCAGUACUAAUAAAUAGCCUCUCGACUAAACCCCUUAUUUUUCUAACUUGACGUGAAAUAUUUUGAUCGAGUUUAUGUAUUAUGUCAAAUAAAAAUUACUGAACAAAAAUGUUUUUCAUUCGGUUAUUUGCUGGUUGUGACGUGUCACAUGCGUGAUAUAAUUAAAAAAAAAAAAAAAAAAUAUAAUAUACCAUAAUAAUAUUAUAAUUAAAUAUGUUUAUGUAUAAUUAUAUACCUAAAUUAAUUUAAUAAUAUAAUAUAUAAUUUUAUAAUAAUCGAACUAACCGAAGUUAUUGAAUAUCAGUCGUUAUAGUGACUAUAUUUUACAAAUAGUAAUUAAAUCCAAUUAAAUUGUUAUAAUAUUUUUUAACAAUAUUUUAGAUACGUGCGCACCACGAGAAAUUUUUCUUGGGUGUGUCAAGUCCGCAGGAAAUUGUCCAGGAGACAUGUUAUUUAUAAUGAUAAGUGUAAUGUUCCUCCCCCCUCUCCUUCCCCCCCUGUACACUUUACGUUCAAUGUUUAUAGCGUGUUUCCGAAAAGUCACCGUGGCCUACGCAUGCGAUACGGUUAUCAUAUUCGUUGGCUUUUUUGUUUUUUUCCAAAUUUAUAUAAACGAUAAACAAAAAUAUUGGAUAUAUUAUAUGCUUGAACUUUUUACCCGGAUUUUUCUAUAGCCUUUAAACCUUUUCGUACCGUCCUAUAAUAUUAUCUGGGCGUAACGCGCGUAUAUUUCGAUUAACCGGGUCUUAUAUCAUUCAUUAACCGGCCCCGCUGCUGCAACAGAUGGGAUUUUUCUCCCCUCCGCGUUCCUCUAUAAUGUAUAGGCCCACUCCGCCCGUAUACCCGAAAAUACGCGUAUUAUUAUUACGUAUAUACUAUAUUCUCGAAAAUCGUUCGUAUAAAUAUAUUUUUUACUGCACAAUAACGUCUGAAGCGAGAGAGGACAUAAAAUCGAAUGUAUGCGUUUAAUAUAUUACUACUUUAAAAAAAAAAAAAUUAUUAUUUUUUUUUUUUAUUAUUCGAAUAAUAUGUUUUCUCCGUUCGUUGUAUUAUGCACUUAUUAUGUAUUAUUAUAUAUAGUGUCCGCCGCUUCGGGACCGGACUGAUUUAUUUUGGUUUUCGUAAAGAAAAAAAAAAGGGCAAAAAAAAAAACAAAAAAAACUACCAACGAUAAUCGCAUCAUAUAACCGCACGAGUUUCGAAUUUUCGAACGUCACAACGUAAUAUUAUUAUAUAUCGUAGUCAUUCGAGUACUGUUAAUUUCUAUUAGGUAUAGGGUAUAUAUAAAAUAAAAUACAAUUAAAAACACGCCGCCCACGCACGUUUAACGGCUUCUCGGCGUACAGUUCAGUCAUUUGCGGCCGGGUCGCGAGUCAAGAGACUGCCCGUAUACACCUACCACACUAUAUAAAUGUAUAUAUAGUCGGCUAGAGCCGUUCGUCAUUAUUUACGGUAUAAAACGUAAUUUUUCAAGUGCAUUAUUUUUAUACUAUUCUGGUUUCCGACGUUAUAUAGUGCGGACGGUCCGACAAUCAUCACGCGGUCAUCGCAACAGCUGCGCGGCCUCAACAACACGUCAGCUCAUUUGACUGGAAUCGCAAUUAAGCCGCGAAUAGAAAUCUCGAAACGAAAAAUGUCAUUAACAAUUAUUGACUUACGCGCAUACGUAUGAUGAUGACGUGAAUGCGUCGGAGAUGAUUUACACUGAUUCAUUAACGAACCAAUUUAUAUUUUAUUGUCAUGAAAUCCGAAAACAAAACGGAAUUCGUCAUCGACACUUUCCGGUUUGUUUUUUUCUUGCCGGAGAUUUAUAUUUUCAGAAUACGAUAAAAUCUUUUUUCGUAUAUGACGAAUUUGUGUUACGAUGACGAAAAAUUAAAACCACUUUUUGUGACACUGAAAAUUUGUCGAGUAUCGAUGACGUCACCGCGUGCGUGCGAAAGUCACACGAGUAUGAGGAAAUAUCGCCCGCUCGCAAUUUCUUCUCGUUUGUCAUACGCAUUUGAAAUAUUUUCGACCAGUCAUUAAAAACGGUCGCCUUGUACUAUCGUUUAUAAAUAUUUUAAACACGUAUAUACACGUGUAUAAUAUAAUAUUAUAUAUUAUUAUAUAGUUGUAGGUUAGGCGGUUAGUCGAAUCGCAACGAUGUUAUAACCCUCGUAUACAUACACUCGUAAAACUGCAUUGUGGUAGGUAAAAUUUUUUUUCCUCUCGGUAAAUUUCAACUGUGUACAAUAUAAUAUUUACGUGUAUAAUAAAUUUCCACGUGUUUUAUCGCGUUUAUCGUGCAUUGUUGUACGCGGGGUCGUCCAAGACGUUUAUUGUACACACGUACGGUCGUUAUUAUUGAUCGUCGAAUAACCGAAAAAAAUAAGAAAGAAAGAAAAAAGGUGAUGCAGGCUACUUUGUGUCUGUUGCGAGGCGGGUGCGUAUGUCGUGCCGGGUCUUUUGUCGAUUUCUGCGGGGCUUGGAUGUAUCGUCGUUAAACCGUGUACGUAAUAAUUGAAAAUAUCUCGAAGAAUUUCAAAAAAAGAAAAAAAAACAACACGUUAAAACGUGAGAUAGCGCCGAAUAUCUUUGAUAAAUGACCGCGAGCGAUUAUCACGUACGAUCAUAUUAUUGUUGUUAUAAUACUGGAAAAUCGCAAACGGUUGUUUAUUUCGUUGGAAACUCAACAGGUGUCCGGGUUAGUUUGAACACGGUCGCGACGAGGCGUAUUUUUUUCCCAGGAGAGGACAAACUUCUCGGCGUUUAAUAUUUAACAUGAUGAUAUCGUUGUAAAUCUCGCGCGGUUUAGAUUGUUUUAACAAUAUUUUUAGUGGGGAUUGCCGCAGGUGCAGCCGGGGCGUAUAUUUCAGUCGAGUAUCAGACAAAACACUGUAGCAUUUCGUGUUUGACAGAUAUCAAUAUUUUUAAAUCGGAUUAUGAUUCAUUAUUUGAUUCAUCGUUACUAUAGGCCGGUGCAAUAGAAACGUAGCAAUUAUUUUACUGGAAAACGUAAAAAUUGAUUGUAUUUUCGAAAAUGUAGAUAAAUGUGUAUUUCGCCUUUUAACUUAUUAUGACGAUGAGAUAAUUCAAGGAAAAAAAAAACAAUAAUUCCGACGUAUAUAGUAAAUAAUAACCUAGAAGAAUGUAAUACGUUUUCAAAAUUUAAAUCCGUCCGAACGCAAUUCCUACCGUUUUGUCUGGCUUUUCGGUAUAAAACGCAUAAAAAAUGCAUUACCCGUUUAAUGGACAGUAAAUUAACGCCAAAGCCUUAUUAAGAUGACCAUUAAAAUGUUUACGAAAUUGAAGAACAUUUGGCAAACCGUCACCGAUCCUCUUAUUAUAAAUAUUUGUAUAUACAAAUUACCUUUAAUCGUUUUCUCCGAAAUUGCGUUUUGGAGCCAGCAAACAUUUUUUUUUUUUUUUUUUACAACUUAAUUUAAACGUUAUUAUUUAUUCGUCAUUUCUAGAGCGCGGAUUUUUAUGUAAAAACAUGUUUUUAAUGGAUAUAUGCACAAUCAUUAGAGUAAGGUAUGUCAACGAUUCACAGUACAAAGAAUCUGAAUACAAAAUUGUAUUUUGCAUAUAUAAGUGCAUAUUUUGAUGUUAAGAGAAUAUAUUCAUAUAAAAUCAUUUUUUUUUUUUUUUUUGCAUAUUUGACUAAUUAAAGAUUUAUGAAUUUAAAUAUUUUCAGGAAUUAAAAAAUUAUGUAUAUUUCAACCGGUGUGAUCAAUUUUUUCUAUUUUAUAAUAACUUAUUAAUGGGUACAUCCUACGAUAGGUAGUUUUUAAUGUCAUUACGAUUUGAUAAUUGGCAAAUAAUAAUGAAAUGCGAAAAUUAUUAUUUUACUGUUUAUCAUACUACGAAUACGGUAAAUGAUGUUGAUACACGUUCUGCUAGUCGAAUUUUUGAUAUCUAGUUAUCAUCUAGUUAUCUAGUUAUCUAGUUACCUGAUAACAGCUACCUACGGCCCGAAUAAUUGAUAAUAAUUUGUUACUGCGUAAAUCAUAACAUGUUUUCCUCCAGUGAUGACGAGUUUUUGUUUUGUAUUCAAAGUCUAAAAAAAUUAAAAAUCAUUUUUUUUUUAUACUUUUUGUCUGUCGUGCUUUGAUUUACAAGUUUUAAUUUAAUAAAAAGCCGAAAUAACGAUCUAAAAAAAUGAGUUUAUUAUUAUUUUAAUAAUGUUAUUGAUUUUGUUAAUUAUUAUUUAUUAUAUUUGUUUUGCGUAUAAGUAUAUAUUUUAAUGUUAAAACAGUAUAUUAAUAAAAAAACAUAUUUUUGCAUAUUUUAAUAAAAUUUUUAUUAAUAUUUCUAUAAUAUUAUCGUAUACAGGUGUUUCAAAGAACAUUUGACAAAUGCAAUAACCAUUGAAUUUCUACAAUUUUUUUAAUUUUAUAAAAAUCACUUUAUUCAUAAACAAAUUUGGUGAAUCGAUUAAUGUAUUAUAAUUUACAAAUGGCAAUUGAAACAAUUUUAAUACUUUAUAUCAUAUUAAACACUUAAAAAAAUAAUGUCUACUAUUAACGGCUCGUCAACUAAUAACACAAUAACGUUACAUUAACAUUUUGUUUCAAAAUAAAUUUACAUGGACCAUCUUGGAUUUUGUAAACAUACAUGUUUAACAAAUUUAAAUUUUAAAUUUUUUUGUUUUAAAAAAAAUGUAUAUAAAAUAUAAUAUUCAUAUAGCGCAAGGCUUUAAGUAAUUAUUACAAAAAAUAAAACAAUAAAAUUGCACGAAAUAUCUAAUAGAACAAAAAAAUGUUAUUGCAUUUAUCAGAUCUCCGCGGGACACCUGUGUAAGUUCCCCAUUGAAUGCUUGGUUUUUUUUCCUUCAUUUUUCGGUUUAUAAAUUUAUCCUUCAUAUUUGCUUGACUGGGUACACAAUAUUAUGAGCGGUUUUCGUGAUUUAUAUAUCGUACGUGUACACUGCAGGAAAAACUGCCAAGGUCUUUCUUAUACCAUUGAAACACCGUGACCGAUAUGUACGUCUGCGAAGAACACGAUGACUACCAUGACGGUCAUCAAUCGUUUAGAACGAAACAGUCGAACGAUAAUAAAUUAUAUUAUUUAUUAUUAUUAUACGUUUCGAAAUAUAGGUUUUUUUUUUCUCGAAAAUUAGAACAAUAAUUUAUUCUGAAAUUAUUCCCUAUUACCUACUGUAAAAAGGUCGAAAAAAAAAUUGUAUUGUAUAGUUCGUAAUAAUAUAAUCAUAUUAUUAGCAAAUCAACUAGUUUAUCCAUCAUUUAGACCUAUUUAUUAUUUUUCACGUAACGAGGUUGAUUAUUUCGUCGAUCCUCGUCAUUAGUUAGAAAAGUACAAAAAUCGUGUUACGUUAAUUUUUAAGGAUGUCCAUUUUUCCGACGAUUUUGAUUAUAAUAUCCUCCUCGUAUAUUCCAAAAUAUAAUCACUAUAAUCGUUAUUUGCGAUGAUUUUCGAAGUAAGUAUAGAUAAACAAACACUGUCAUAUUGACCGCACGCCUAGUUAAGUGAAAGGAAAUCAAUGCGGUAUACUCGGAAUUUAAUCAGAGAAUCUAUUAACAUUUUUUCAUCACGACUUUACGACCAAGUAAACAGGUGCAGGAAACAGUCCAAUAAGGCUUGACAAAAAUAAACGCACAUGGAAAAUAUAAAUAUUAUCGACACGAUUAGUCGUACCUAUAACUAUUGAGUUCUAUAUAACUGAAAAACAUAUAUUUUGUUCGUUAAACGUUUGAGAAACACGUUGAUGCUUAUAUUAUAGUGAUAACGAAAAUGCAUUUUUUUUCUGGCCUUACUAUUGCGUUUUUCGCAAAAUAUUAGCUCAAAGUAUUAUACACGUAUAUUGUUAAGAUCAAUACUUAAUAUUGAAGGUAACACCAAUAGUGUCGCAUAGCGUAUAGAAUAUAAUUUGAAACCGUGCGUGUAUGUAGUUGAAUAAAUUACAUUAUUGACCUGAGAUUGGUGGUUGGUGCUCGCGGGUUUAUGCCGAGGUUUACACUGCAGCGUUGGGUAUAAUACUAAACGCAUAAAAUAUUGUGUGUACAUACUUGCCCUGCACAAUGGCCAUUAACGAUUUCUGGUGAAUUUGAUAUCUAACUGUGCAGUACUUUGUCUUGGAUUUACAUUUACCAUUAUAUACGAAUAUUACAAUACACGUCGGAUAUUUCAUCGUUUACGUCAAGUAGUGUUCUUGAAAGGGGCGAUAUCUCGUCAUUAUGCACCUGCGUCGCGGGGUUCGUCUAACAGACUACCUACCGAUCGCGGCGCAAUAAACGCGGAUGGAUCGAGGGGGUGUUAAGUUCGUGUGUUCCUACUCUCUUAGACGUAUCCGAUAUCCUCGGUCCGACAGAAAUAAUAUAUGGCUAUACCCAGUAACGUGUCCGAAUCCUAUGCAUAAGUAAUGAACCAUAACUCCGGUCAGGGUUAAAUUGAUCGCGGUGCCAUUUGAAUUAUGUAAUGCAAAAAUGUAUUUGUUUAUCAUUUUCUUCCCGAUUCAAUAGUAUGUGUACGGGUUGACUUUAUAUGCCCUACGCUGCAGAUUUUAAAUGUUGAGGUGCGGUAUUUUUUGUAAUAGUUCUAAAUAUUUCGUUUUCUGAACACGUGUUUCAAUUAUAUUUUCGUUCACGUAGUUAAACUGCAGUUUCAUAUAGUCGUCUGCUUAAAAUUUAUGUAGACGAAACAGUCAAUGUAUAUAUACGAGUAUAUGUAUGUAUAUAUUUUGAAGUAGGCACUGAUUGAUAAUUACUUUAACCCUCGCGUCUCUUUGAGUGCGUAUUGGGUGGAACACGAGCUAUUUAUGUGUUACACCUGGGACCGUUCUUCGCGGAUCGGUCGGAUUCUGGUAUUAAUUAACCCUGUCUCAGAUACCGCAGUAGAAUGUGACACUCCCUUAUAAACUCGCUUAUUCUACACUACCACUAUAUAAUAUACUCUUUCUCGCCCGCUCUGACUGAGAUUUUAAUAAACGAGGAGACCCGUGUGAUAAAUCACUUUGGAGGUUAAUAAUUUUAAAUUGGGCUUCAGCAGCAGGUACACUGCAUGAUGAGAUAAUGAACGUGUUGGCGCAGAUUUGUCUUGAUGGUUAAUUUCAUUAUUUUGGCCGUUCCGUCGUCGUAUUCCUGCAAACUGACAAAACCGGCUGUGUAAAAUAUCUUUUUAUUAUUACUAUUGGUUAAUCGUUUGCGGUAGGUAUUCAAGGGUAAAAAGACUAUACGGUCUGUUCAGACUAUGUAUAUUUUGUCUAUUUGUAUUGGCUAUACAAAUGUAAGUAGCAGGAAUCGGACGAUAAAAGGCGGAUGUGUGCAGUGUAAACCUACAGCGUUCGUAUUGGAUCAGGAAGUGGUGGUACUUAUCCACGUCUACGAGUAUAGCGGAUGAAUCCGAGUGAGAAUAAAUUAUGUAUGUAGGCACGUCAAGAAAAUAGGAAACGAUAUAAGAUUGCCAUAAAGGCGGCCGCGGUGAGAGACGGGUGUAGCUGGAAGCCGGGAAAGAGAUUGACCAAAGAAAAAGUGGUUAUAGAUGGAAUUUAAGGGCGAACGGAGUAUUAUAAUAUGAGGCGAAUAUAUGCGAUAAACAAGGAGAUGUGAUAAGCCAUAACUGCAAGAGUAUAGUUGACCCACCUCCCGUAAAGUAUAUUGGUAUGUAUUUGGUGUAAUAUUAAAUAAUAUAAUAUAAAAUAGGAGGGAUCUAAUGGAAGUCGUGUACAAAUUUUAAUUAUAGUGUAAUUGAAACACUCUGUAUACAUCGGUAUACACAGAGUUAUGAAGUACCUAUCGAGAUUGAUAAAAAUCACCAUAUUAUAUACUUUAAAGUCCCUCCUUAAUGGUGAUUGGAAUAAAUAAGUGUACCUAGGUAACAUAUUAUUUAGUCGCACAUUAUAUUAUUUUGUAUUCAUUACUGAUAUUAUUUCCCGUUUACUAUUCAUUGCGUGCCGUAUAAUAAUAAUAUUGGCUUAUUCGUUAUUAGAUCAAAAUCGUUAGCCGUAACGGUCAAAUACAAUAUUAUUAUGAACACUCGUAUUUAUUAGAAACAAUACACUCUAAAAACGUUAUUUAUAACGACUUUUAUAAAACUCAAAAUUACGAUUUAAAUAAAAACUGAUUUAAUGGUAUACGAAAAAAAAUGACUAAAAAAUUGACAUAUGCGUUUUUGCUCCUCUAAAUCUUGCAGUGUUGACCGUCUCUGGUUCGAAACUGUUUUUUUUAAUAUGCACUUAUCCAUACUUAACCCUCUCCGUAACGUGAGCAUGUUUGACCACUGUGGCCUUUAUAUGCGGAGGGAGGGAAAUAUCUCUUCGAAGGGUCCCUGUUUUUAAUAAAAUAUGGAUCUUUGUAUGAUAUUGUGACAAUAUCGUUUUUUAAGAUGUCGGUCGGUCAAGGUUAGAUUAGGCUAUACAAAUUUCAAGAUUAACGGUUAUAAAGUUUAUUUAUGAUUUCCAUUAAGUAGAUAUACUUGGGUACAAAUUAUUGACAAAUCGUCUCUACAUUGGUUGUCUUGUUAAAUAUAUAUUUAUAUCUAUAUACACGUUUAUAAAGUUCUCGAAGAAUAGAUUUUAUAAUUUUCGAAAUUGCGUCGUUUUGGUUUGAUUUUUCUGUAUUAUAUUUUUAAUUUCUUUCCGUCGUCUGUUGGAUUUGAAGUAGAGUGAAAUAUAUAAUUCGUCUGUGCUUUUCGUAAAGUAAACGACGAUGACGACGACGCGACGGAGUAAACAGAAAUUGCACGCUUAAUUAAUUUGGUAUACAAAAAUAAUGUCAAUUUUCGAAAUUUACAUUAUUAAAACGGAUUUUAUUAAACGCAAAAUAUAUUAGAGCAUGCCCACGUAACUAUAUAUUUGAUAAGUAAUCUAUGAAUAAUUCAUACCUAUUUAAUAAAAUGUAUAGUAAACGCGUUUUUUUUUUUUUUUUUUUUUUAUCGUUUUUGAAGAAUAUAAUAUAAUUUGAGAUUUUUUCGGUGGUUGUUGUUGUUGUUGCUUCUGUACGCGUCAGUCUAAAACAUUUUCGAUUACCUAUACCUAUAUACUUAUACCCACUAAUAACGGUGCACAACAUUAAUAUUAGGACGACGGACAGGACCCCAUUUGCUUUGUAUAUAGUUUGUAUGUAAGUAUACGUAAUUACCCGCCUUAUCCCCGUAAUGGAGUUAAUCUGAAGGCUAUUAUAAUGGGUCCCGAUAACCGUGAAAGAGUAGAAGGAUAAAGUGUCCGGGCGGUAAACCGCCCAAUAUGUCACUAAAAAGAACAUUAGUCGUCGGAGUCGAUGUUAGAAAAUCUUUUCGGGUCGGCUUGCGAUUCGUUUUUAAUCUCGCGCGUGUCUACUUAUGAAUGUGUACCUAUUUGUAAUGUUUACCGCGCUAUAGAAUUUUUAGUCGUUUCGAAUUUGUAGCCCCGACAAAAUAAAAUAUAAAUCGAAAAAUCGUAAUGCGCCGCACACCGAACGAUUUAACCGAGUGCGGUAUCCGCAGUGUUUAAAACACGUGUACCUAUUAUACAUCGGCAGAACACGCGCACUACCCGACGACAUUUCGAUUGCCUAACGGCAUUUUAUCGUUAAUUAUAAAACGUCACUGUUUUCGAUUUAUUGUUAACUGUUCGUUCAAUUGCAUAUAAUAAUAUCCGAUUUUUGUGAUCGUGCCGGGGGAAUUUACACAGUUUUUUUUUAAAAUUAUUAUACGACUUUUAAAUGGUUACAGACCGGUUGAAACGCCGCCGAACUAAAUAUUUGAUUUACGAACCAUAUAGAAAUAAAUACAGCAUCCUGUCCCUAUAUAAAAUGUAUAGAUAAUUUGUACAGGGUGUGUACAUAAAAAAAAUAAUACAUUCACAAUUUACAUGUACAGGGACCGUGGAGUGUAACUAUAUAAUAUAAGAACUAUUAUAUAGACAUUUUAUGGGCCGUGUAAAAUGCGGGUCGAGUCAACGUGUGCGUCGUAAAUGUUAAUGCAUGAUAAAAAUAAUACUAUAAUCCAUAUUCAUUGUGUUACGAUAUUGCCGUUACAAAAUUUAUCUGUCCAAACGAUCGCGUUCGUUUUUAUUGGAUUUAUUGUCACAUCAUUUACUGUACAAUAAAAUGUGUUCAGAGUUUUCUCAAUUUUUACAAUUUAAUCUCUAAAAAUUAAAAGGUUACCCGCUUUUUCAAAAAAAAAAAAUAAAAUAAAAUAAAAACCACCCAAGUUAUUAUUUAGUGAUGAUUCUAAGUUUUUUCUUUUCAAAUGUAUACAAUUUUCUCCACGGUAUUAUCGUAAAAUGUUACCAACCUAUUAAACCGUCAUAACAAUAGGCGUAUAGUAUAACUUUUAAGACAAUAGACGGCACGUGUAUAGGUUGGUAAAUAUGUCGGGUAUUUAAUAUAAUAUUCUAAUACGUCCGGUCAAAAUUAUUAGGGUAUAAACUAUAAAUUUCAAGUUUUAUAUAUACGGUCACACUGUAUGUAUUAUAUAUCUGCUACACGAGAUUAACGUUAUGUAUAAACGAUGAAUUUUUGAAUAAAAUAUAUCAUCUUCUUCUUCAGGGUACAAAACGGUCUCUAGGACCAACUCUUCAAUGAUGUGCCUUCCAAUCUGAUCCUUCUCCUGUAUAGUUCUUCCACGUUUUUUUUAAACUAUAUCUUCCCACCGUCAUCGGUCUUCCAAUGGGUCAUUGCCCUGUCAAUUGAUUUUCCAACAUUACAUGAAGUAAUGUGUUUCGGCUCUUCCAGACGUUUCCCGCCCAUGAUAGUCUCUUAUUUCUGAUGGCCGCUACGGUCUUCUGUCUCUGUUGCAGCAAUUUUACUUUAUUAUCGUUGGUUUCAGCGUCUGUUACAGUUCCAAAACACGUUCUCGGGGUUCUAAAAACGAGAAGUCGGUUUUCCGGACCGACCGAGUCCUGCCCGCUCUUAAUUAUCAGUAUAUUAUAACGUACACACGCCGUUAUAACGUCAAAUGCAUUUUUAUAUUAUUAUUGUUAUAAAACUCGUCGUAUUCGUAUACAAGGGGUAGACAUGUCGUACGCAGCCAAUAAUCGCGAGUCGUUUAUUUAACGUGAUAUUUAUUAUGUAUAGAGUGGCCGGCCGUGGUGAUUAGGUACACGAGUACACAUAUAUAUAUAUAUAUAUCGUAUACAGUACAAACGAGGAUUCAUAAAUGUUUUAAACAAAACGGUCGACGCCAUAAUACAGCGGCAGAUAUAUUAGCGGUAAUAGUAGUAGUAGUAGUAGUAGUAGUGGCGGAAAUAUGGGAUCAGAUUAGGGCAGCUUUGAUAAAUAAAUAAAAAAAAAUCCGCUCCCAUUAAGUAUACGCGCUUUUGCAAAGACGAGCGGGCGGUCCAAAAAGAGAGAACACAUGUUCCAGACAAAUUGCAAAGGGGUCGUAUAGUCGUGUGGAUGUAUACAUACGCAAACACACACACACACACACACACACACGUACAGUCUGUUAUAUAUAUAUGUAUAUGGUAAAACGAAGAGGGACGGAACUAAGCCAUUGUGCGUAUAGUGAAAACAUUGACGGUCUACAGCCUCAUACAUAAAUCAGCAGCAUCGUACCGAUAAAUCGUCUACCCCCCCCCCACGAAUUACCCAGUCGUUAUUUAGGUUAGUUUCGAAGUCUACUAGGAGCGGGGCACGCAUAUAUAACACGUUGGAUUAUUAUUAUAUACACGUUUAUACGCUUAAUUUGUAUAGUCCGCGAUGACUGAUAAGACGGAAUCGAGAUACGAGUUUUUGUAAUACUCUCGCGUCGAACCGAACACACAACCCCCCCCCCCCCCCNCCCCCCCCCAUCGUAUAAUAAUAAUAAUAAUAAUGUGGACACGAUAAUAACGGCGGGAGCUAAGCAACGGCCUUUGUCAUGUGUACUGUUAUUAUUAUACGAGACUGGGUAUAAUUUAUUGACGAUACGCGACGAUAUUAUUUCGUAUACUCUCAAACGCCGCUGCGACGAUAACGACAAUAUAACAUUUUUACGGCCCUGCAACGACAUCUACAAUGCAACUGUUGAGUUUCAAUUUAUUAUUCGACCAUUCGUUUACGACGGUAUUCGUAUCACAGUACUUACCCAUCAUUUUAUCGAAUAUUUAUCCCUGUCGACGCCCGGAAGGCUGAGGUUACCUGCAUUCUUUCGCCUAUACGAAGUUUCGUACUCGCGUGAAACCGAUCAUUUCUUCUCGUACAUACCGAAUUUAAACAAAUAACCGAAAUCGAUUUUGACACGACGUUCCCGUUUUUUUCCGACAGUGACGCCGCCCAUCGUUCCCCUCCCCGUUAUUAGAUAAAAGCAUACAAAGAUUUCCGAACAAACGACAAAACCCCGGCGCGCCGACUAUAAAUCUAAAACGCAACAAGAAUAAUUGACCUAGUCGUCUUCUGGGCGAAAACUUGUUCGCAGAUAGAGAGAGAGAAAAAAAAUAAAACAAUUAUGUAAAUUACGUACGUACACGUCCACUAUUAUAAUAAUAUAAUUCUGUCCUUAUUUGAUCGGGACCGAGAGAGAAUAAUAUGAGAUAAAAUGUAAAAUAAAUAAGUUUUAAAAAAAAAAAAAAAUCACGAAACGAAACAAUUUGCGAAUAGAAAAAAAAAAAAUACACGGUCGGAUUAGCUUAUAUUUUUCUCGUCUUUUGUAAAUUGUUCGCGCCGCUAAAAAAGAUUGAUUAUCAUAAUAUUAAAAACAUUAUUUUCUUCUAUUUGUAUUUUUCUCUACAGUCUGUGUCCGCAUAGUAGUAGUAGUAGUAGUAGUAGUAGUAGUAGUAGUAGUAGUAGUAGUAGUAGUAGUAGUAGUCGUAGUAGUAGUAGUAGUAGUAGUAGUAGUAGUAGUAGUAGUAGUAGUAGCAGCAGCAGCAACAACAGUAUAUACAGUAUAGUAGCAAUAGCAGCCAGUGCCUUUAAUUUGUUUCAUAAAAGACCCCGCGCGCGUUGUACAGUAUAGCACUAGUGUUGUUGUUGUCGUUAUUUAUUAUUGCGCAAAUACAAGGGUUAGACCGGAGUCGUUAAAACUUCAUUAAUAUUGAUAGUAUAUAGUGUAACGUCUUUUUAUUCUUUCCCCGCCGUUUGAUGUGUGUGUGUGUGUGUGUGUGUGUGUGUGUGUAUAUUUGUAUGUAUAAAAUAUACGAUUGAGCUGUAAUAAUAACGUAUACGAUUGUAGUUUCUUUGACAAUCGGAUCAAAUUAACACGAUUAUCGCCAUAUGAUUAACGAUGAAUAAAAAAAAAAAAAAAAACCCGAGACGAAUAACGCGAAGAUACUCAUUGUAUCGGUAUGGCGAGUGUUGUUGAUGGCGUGGGCGGACGGUCCGUAACAGUUUCCUCCGUUAUCACAACACCGGAAAGAAAAAUAGAAACCGUUCUUUUUUUUUUUUCCACGAAAAGCGUUGAUUUAUCGUAAAUAAUGACGCGAAAAGUUCCUUUUUUUUUUCCACAAUACCUGUUUUUGCUUAUAUCAUAUUUUGAUCGACUGUCGUAACGGGUGUGCGAGGGGAGAGGGCGUUGAGGAACGCGUAGUCCGUUUAGUCGUAUGUCUGCGGUUUAUAUGGCGACCCUUCGCGCUUAUUUUUCGUACACGCCAAUUUGGCGCUACUGAUAAUAAACUGCACGAUACACCUGCAGUCCCAUCAUUCCAUCGUAAACCGUGCGUAAAACACGCAAUAUCGAUGGCUCGAAAGUUGUUAUGUCGGUUUAUAUUUAUUAUUUUUUUUCGCUCUCUAAUCAGGCCUCGCAAGUCUGUCGCCGGUUACGUGUGUUCUUUAUUCCUUAUUCCCGGGAGCUCGAGGCGUUCUCUGACUAGACCGUUCCGCCAUUGUCUUGGUCUUCCUCUUAGUAUUUUCACGAUUCCGCAAUCUUGAUCUUUGCACGAACAUAAUAGUUGACUCUCUGCCAGCCAAACGUACCCCGCCGAUCCUCUGGCUUUUAAAAAUUCCCGUUAUAUAUCCGGCUCAUUAAACAUCGCUCUCAACUUUGAAUUUGUCUUUUGUUAACAUAUGUAUUCUUCUCAUAGUUUCUAUCGGGCCAUUUAUUUUACGUACGACAUUUUUCUUUAGAUAUUAUUAAUCUCUUUUCGUCAGACUUGGUGGAUGUUUACGCUCCGCACGCGCGCGUCUUGAUAGUAUGUAAUCUUAUUUUUAUUCUUUUGGACAGUCUCAUUUCGACUUAAUGUACGAUGAUAUUAUAUAUACAUAUAUUUUUUUUUUUCCAAAAUUGAUUACUAUCUGCCAAAUAUUUUACAAGUCUAACGCCAUUUUUUUUUAUAAGGAACUUAUGUUUAUUUUUGAUUUCAAUUAUUGUGUUUUCGGAGAGUUCUAGCUACGCGUUUUUUUUUUUAUUCAUUAAGAUUACACGUCCAGAAAUAAUGGUAUACACAUAAAAUUGCUCAUUAAAAAAUUAUAUAUUUUUCAUGAUAUAAUAUUAAUAAUACUAUAUAAUACUAAACGCACAAAAAUACCGUAUGCAGAUAGGCACUUGUUAUUUUUUGUCUGAGUUAAGUCAUCAAUUUUGCAAACAUUUUAAUGCAAUCAAAACCUAUUAUAAUUUCAUGUUUAAAAUUAGCAUAAAUAUGUAUAUAUUGUAUGCAUAUGUAAUUGCUAUGUAUCAUCCAACAAGUCCUUUUUAAUUAAUUAACGAAAAACAUUAUAAAUAAUAUAAACAUACUAAUAGAUUUGAAAGAACUAAAAUGUUUUUUUUUUUUUUUUUAAUACACCCACGUUAUCCACUUAUCCUUUUGAAUAGGAACUAAUAAAACAAAAUCUGUUAAAUUAUUUACGUGCUUUUUUUUAAUAACGAUUUGUUUUUUUUUUGUUUCAGGUAAGUUAUUAUGAAUAUUUGAUAUGAAUUUUAUCAACGAAUACAAAAUGCAAGCUAAGCCCCGUCGAAAUCGUAUGUACACCAUAACCUAUAAUCAAAACUAAACCUAUGACCUAUAGCAAAACCAAUAAAUUAAACCUCUUUUCGGAAGCCAAAAAUAAUAUAAGUACUGUAUAUAUAUAGCUCUUAUAAUAUGGUAGAGACCUUUAGUGAAAUUUUAAUCUAAUAACAUUAAUUUUCUGUUCACGCAGUUCAUUGUCUAUUAUAAUUAGAAAAUGUUUCGCAUCAAAUACAAUAAGAAUUCGUGUUUUUCCUCUUACACUCCCCGGUAAAUAAAAGGUUCAUCUCCCUGGCACCCGUAAUCGUAUCUAUUUGGAACUAUUUGUAAUCCUUUUUAAAAAAAAUUGUAUCCUCUUCAUUUUCCUGUAACCGAGAUCACGGUCUCCUCAGUACCCGUAUUUAAAAUGCCGUUUUACAGGAAAAUUAAGAGGUUACACAUUUGUUUAAAAGGAUUAAAAAUGGAUAUAAAUUAGAUACAAAAAAAUUAUAUCAACCCAAAGUCGAUACGGUAAUUUUUAGGGAAAACUCAAGUUAGGUCCUUGGAUAUUUUAUCGCUUAAAUUAAACUCGAGUUGGGUCCGUGGUAAUAAUAUUAUAUUAAAUAUGAUUUACGUAUUUUAAUACGAAAAUAAUAUAAGUUUUAAUACUAAUAGUGAUCAUUUUAAUGUUUUAUAACUAUACAAAUUGUAUAAGAGUAAAGCAAUAAAAAAAAAAUCAAAUUUUUUGGAAGACUCUAACCAACCUCCAUUUGGUGUCUCCUGGGUAACUCUUAUAGCGUAGACUAAUAUUUUCAAUAUAAAUAAUAAUAAAAUAAAUAUGUCGGGACCUAACUCGUGUAUACGUUAAAAUAUGCCGGGAUCCAAUUCAUGCCGUCGGGACCCAACUCGAGGUCAGCCGAUUUUCAAAGGCUGCCGGUGCCAGGGAGACGGUCUGUAAAAUUUCGUUUUAUAGGAAAGUGAAGGGGAUACACAUUUUUUUAAAAAGGGAUACAAACGGAUACAAAUCGGGUACAUAAAAAUGAUGUUGGUCCGAAGUCGAAAGGACGAUUUGCAGAUGCCAGGGAGACAGACCUGUAAAUAAAUUAUCUAAAGUUUCACUUAUACGACUUAAUAUUUAUACCUAUUUACAUAUUUUUUUUUAUAUUAGGUAUAUUUUACUAUCUUUAAGACAGACUAUCUAUUUGUAUAUUUUUUUUUUCAAACAAUAACUUGUGGAAACGCGAUCAUUUUCUGUUUUUUAAUUAGGGUAGGUACAUCGAGUUUAAAUUCAUCGCUAUUUUGAAACGCUAUGUUAAAACAAAUGUAUGCGUACUUGCUCUUUCCUAUCUUUAUAAAAUUGUUUUAUUUGUGAUUAAAUUCCAAUUCAAACUAUAAAUGACAUAGUUUACGUUCAUAAUGUUAUUACCCUUUAAGAUCGAAAUAGUAAAUGUGAGUACAUCUUAAUAGGACGUGUGCUACCUCCUGUGUUGAAAGAUCUACGUGUAGACAUUUUUCUCGGCAUUUUGAUAAAAAUUAUAAAUUGAUCAACUCAUAAACGUUCAAAUGUUCAAAACGUUCGAUUUUUAACAACAAUAACUUUUUUCGUAUUUGUAAUUUCAAAAAAUAAAUCCAACCAUGGACAGUUCAAGUUCUCCUUUUUCUAUGGCUUUUUCGUAUUUGUAAUUUCAAAAAAUAAAUCCAACCAUGGACAGUUCAAGUUCUCCUUUUUCUAUGGUGAAAACUUGAUUUCUUAACUAAGUCAAUAUAUAACCCGGGUAGUAUUUUUCCCGUGAAAAAGCGUUUUUUACGGGCGAGGUAAUACUUAAGGAAAUACAAUAUAUUAUUAUUAUAACAAUGUCCUGUGUAUUGAUAUAUCUACUUCAAGUGAGUGUUAAGUACACGCCGGAUAGGACAUAUUUACUUCAUAACCCUAUUCUCAGGUAUACAUAGGUACUCAAAUGUAUGAUAUUAAAGUUGAAAGUGCGUAUAUUUUACACUUACCUGCAGCCGUAUACAAGUUAUUGGUAGGUACCGUGUACGAGUUGAAUUUUUUAUGUUUCUAUAAUAUUUGUUGUUUCGUAUCUGUAGUUUCUAUAUAGUCGCCGAUAUUACUUUGUUAUUGACAGUAAAUGUGACACUAUAUAAUACGUUACAACGAUUUCCGUCGCCUUUUUUUUUUUUUUUUGUCUAUAUUAAUUUUUCUUCAUUAUUUCUCCUCAAAAAGAAAUUACAUUUAACGUUCGUGUAUAAAUCGUCCAAAAUUUUUGAAAUAUAAACAUAUAAAAACAAAGUUAUACGUAAUAAUUAUAGUUAAUUAAUAAUUAUGUUUAUGUUCGCCAUACAUAACGGUUAUUGAAAUAUUUAAACUUGGUAGUAGCUAAUUCCAAACGCUGUAAAUGUGUUUUGUAUACAAGAAUUUUAAUUAAACCAUUAUAUACGUUUGAAUCAAAGUUUUAUUCCGUUGUCGUCAUUAAAACAAUCAUUACGUACAAACAUUUUGAUGGGCAUUUGUAUUUUUGUAAACUGCAUCCAUUACGUGUUACCUACUUGAACAUAAAUCGUGGCGUUUAUACUAAAAUUUGAGUUCAGUCAUAAAUGAUAACAUUAAAAAAAAUAAAAAAAAAAAUGUAAAACUAACACACGGCUGUUACUUUUUUAUACAAAUAUAUAUAUAUAUAUAUAUAUAUUAUAAAAAGCUACGUAUGGCCUUCGGAAAUAAUAUUAUCCACGUUACAAUUUACGUUAUAACUUUAUACAUAGGAAUAUAAGAGAAACGACGUUACAGACAAAUAGAGACGGAUUUGGUCUUUUAUUAUAUAAGAUAAGAUAAUAAUAAUAUAUUGUAAGAAUUUUAUAAUCUAUCUUUUUUUUUUUUUUUACUAGCAAAUGAAAUACUUUUAUCCGUUAUGUAUUUUAGCGGAAUACAGAUGGAUUUUACAUAACUGAUUAAUAAUUGUAUUGUUCUUUUUUUUUUUUUUUACGAAUAUAAUAAUUUUAAUACAUCCAUUUUCAAAGAAAAUAUAUAGAAAAGAUAACUUUUUUUUUAAUAUUUCAGUGAACUUUGCUCCGAAUUGUUUUUUGAAACGCAUUUUUAAAUUUAUCAUCUAUUUUAGCUUUAUCUUAAAGUUUAAAUUAUCGUGAAAACGUAUUUUUUUUUUUAUAAUGUCGCGUUUAUAAAAAGAAUAAUAUGUUUUAUCAAGUAACAUAAACAUUAAAAAAAAAAAAAAUUUUACCUUGUAACAAUUUGAAAUAUUAUUUUCUUCUAGUUAUCAUAUAUUUGUGAAGGUAUAGAUUCUGUAUACGGUAUAAGUUUAUAGAAAACGCAGCAUCACGCUUGUAAUUAUCAUUGACAGAACUAAAAUGAAACACUUGCGAUUUUUUAAAUGUUUAUAAACGUGUCUUCAGCAGGGCCGCCGGAAACUUGAUGCACUAAAAAAAAAAAAAAAAAACCCGCAAAAAUGCACGAAAAUAAGGGGAAGCCCCCCCCCCGUGCAUUUUAAAUCCUUUGAAAUCUAAAGUAAAAGUUUCAUAUAGCCGAGUUUAUAAUACACGAUUUGCACAAAGGAUUUUUUUUUUUUUUUUUUUUUUUUUAGCCGUCGUUUCUGUNNNNNNNNNNNNNNNNNNNNNNNNNNNNNNNNNNNNNNNNNNNNNNNNNGUUUUUUUUUUUUUUUUUUUUUUUUUUUUUUUAAACCGUAUUUUUUCGUUUAAAGAUUUUUCCGACCAGGCGGUUUCAGGCGUAUAUAUAUACACAGGUAUAUAGUUUUAUUCGUCAAAUGUCCAAUUUCGUCAACACUCGCUUACGUGCGUUUAUACAACAUGUGCAUGUAAUUACGGUGAUCCGCCGCCGUUGUCGUCCAACGGCCGCAGCGUGUUUCCCGUAGUCCGUCGCAUUAAAAACCGUACGUUUUACCGCCGUCGUUGGAUAUCACCCCGGCGCGUUUUCCCGCGGUACGUCAACCGCGCCUGCAAACGAAUUGCGCGUAACGCGACGCUCGUGUAUGGGAUACAACGCGACAUUGCGUUAUGGUACUCCGGUCGACUAGCGAAUAACAGCGCGGUUUCGGAUCCGGCGGAAUUAUACGGCCGUGUGUGUGUGUGUGACGUCGACGCGCGUGUAACGUGUAUGCUUGCCCGGGGCGAAAGUUCCGUCCGGGGCCCCGCCAUUGUUGUUUGUCCGGAGCCAGCGCGCGCGAAAGGUCGUCGCGUGACAAAAUGCGCGUCGAGGUUAAGUGCGCCGAACGGGCGGAUUGUUCUCGCGUUGAGAAAACCGGUUGACAACGAGGGCGACGGAGUCGCAACGCUCGCGUCGUUGCAACGCCAUUAUCACGGUUACAAUAACGCGGACGGACGUGCGCGCGCGUGUUGUUGUGAUUUUCGGGCGGUACUUUUCUACGCUUAUAAAAAAAAAAAAACCAUCGGCACGUACGCCUCCCGCGCGCACUUACCGGGAACUCGUUCCCGCGGCCGUGUAAUUUGUGCGCGCGCGCGCGUACGGAUAUUUAUCAUAAUCCCCGGGUCCCUAUGUCGGGUCACACACGACACCUCCGGUUUCGGCGGCGGUACACAUCGGGUACGUGUAAAGGCGUGCGUAACGGGUACGGGGGGGUGGAGCGGUUAAACCUGUGCGCGAGUGUGCUCACGCAUGGGGGCGGCGGUUUUUCCGUUCUUCUCCUCUCGGCGGCGUGCGCGGCAUCCGAGCGCUCCUUAACCUACAGCCCGUCACGCGAUCGUCGAGCCCGCGCGACGCGAGAUUUGAUUUUCGAAAAAUAUUACCGCGCGUUUCAUUCGCGGUCACGUCGCGCGACUGAAUGCAGUUUUGUGUAUCGUACACCAGUGUACACGUACGUGCACGCGCGCGUGCGUAUAGGUACGCGCGUACGGUUUACCUUUAUUUCCACACCCUUUUCCUCUCUCUCCACCCCCCGGGGCAACGUCUCUUUGUAUUACUCCGUUUUUAUAGAUACCGAGCGAGGCACCGGGUGCUGCGGCUCCGUCGCAUCAUCACGUAUCGGUUUCUCGAGGAAUUCGACAUUUUUUUUCUCUCAUUUCGGUUGGUAAAAAAAAAUAAAAUAAAAUGGAGAUUCGAUUUCCUGUGUUUUUUAAAAUCUAAAAUAAUCCGACGUUCGACGGGAUAUUGUUGUAAAUUCGUAAUCCGGAGAAACUCUCCCCCCCCCCCGUAAAAACGCUGCAGUGUAGUAGUACGUGUAGUACGGUAAUAAUAUUCCUCCUCUGGAAACUAUCGCGGCCGAAUUCGAUUUACGUGUUUGCGUGCAUUAUAUUUUUGUGUUAUUUCGUCUCGGUUUUACGGCGGGGAAACGAAAAAUCUCCUUGUACAAUUAUUACUGUAGCGGUGGAAUUUAUUUACGACAGUGUCACGUGUACAUUGUAUAAUAUUAUAUUCGAUUUUAUACUGGACGCAGUGUUGUAUUUCGGUAUAUUGGUAUUUUUUUUUUUUUAUUAGAAUUUUAUAAUAUGAAAUUGUCUACUACACGGACGGCGGUAAAACAAAUAUAAUCGAGAAGAAAACGACUUGGCUUGAAUCAUAUAAAUUAUUAAUGCGGGACACUUAAAUAUAUUAUACAUCGGUAGAAUAAAACUAUUGCGUUACUUACGUAUGAUUUUUUUUUUUUUUUUUUUUUACGAUUAAUCCCGGAAACCUGUGUACGCGGCGAGAACGUAAUUUUUUUUUUUUAUAUAUAGAAUGUCGUUCGAGUGCGCGAUACAGAGUGUUUCACGCGCGGCGUAACAUUUGUUAUUUUUAUCACGAUCUCAUUUCAAAACGAUAACUUCGUGUAAACGGAUAUUUUGCAGAAAAAAAAAAACCCCUCGUUUAAUGCAGGUUGUCCAGCGCCCCACGAUUAUUUGUUCACCGAACCGCGCGCAACACGGCAAAUUUGCAUUAGUCAAACCUGUGUUGUUGACGCGAGUAUUAAAACGUGAAAUGAAUUGACUUAAGGAUUGCGUUGGUUUUUUAUUAUUAUUAUUAUUAUUUUUUUUUUACGAUAUUUCAAUUUUAAAACGAAAUCCGAGCGCUUUUGAGUAGUAGUGUUUUUACGUACUGUCGCGUUAAAAUUGAACCGGUUAAAAAAAAAAAAAAACGGACGUAGGCAUACCGGCGAUGUUUUUCGCCGUAUAUCGAACUUGAUAAUGUAACGGGUCAAUUAUUCGCGCACGCUUAUCGUAUUAAAUGUAGCCAACGGCGCGGGUUCGGUACUGCCGAACGUUCGUUUGCCGUGUUAGGUCGUCGGUGACGGUGGGAAAACGAACAGCGCGCCGGGGCAUGGUCGUCGUUAUUUAAACACAUUGGAUUUCCCGGUCUCCGGUUCCGCGUUUCGAUUAUCCCGCGUUUUCCUCCCGCGCGGGAUUCGACGGACGGAUGCCGUUUGUUUUUGUGUACGGGGCGUUCGCGGCGACUACAACGCAGUUUCGACGUUUUACGUCGUUAUUUUGCGUUUAUAGAGGGAAAAAAAAAAAAUCAAAAACAACACGCGCAGAGACAGGCACCCGCCGAAAUUACAAUAUCGUAUUUUUACGGCCGGCGAAGGACGAACGGUAUGUUUACUGUACGCCGGAGUUUUACAAAUUUUUUUUUUCUUUUGUUUCGCUCGCCGGUUUACCGGGAGGCGCGUCGAUAGGAAAAACGCGUUUAUAAUAAACGCGCGUGUAUAUCGAAUCGAUAUUUGAGGUUAGAUUCUAUGGCCGAUCCCGCGUUUUGAAUUCGCCGAACGGGCAAAUGCACACCCGCAGCGGACAACCCGCGCCGACGUUAGUUAAUAUUCAACGAGCAAAUAUCGCGGGGAACGUCCGGAUAGUAAAAAAAAAAAAAAAAAUAUUAAUAAUUCGUUCGGGUGUCGCGGGGGAAAAAAAAAAAAUAACCGUACGGCAAAACCGGUGUUCUCGUCUUGUGUUACGGACGUCUAUCGGAUUAUUAUUAUUUUCGGACGGGUUUUUAAAAAUCGCAUUCGCCGUUUCGAACGUGUACUCUUCGACCACGCGGCAAACAUAAGUAUUUCUCGAUUUCGACCCGACUACAAUGUGCUACUGUAUCGUUACGGGAAAAUUCGCCCGAACAAAACGCGGCGGAGAACGUAUACGAACGUGUUAGUUUGAAUUCCGUACGGUCCGUACGGGACGCAUCUAGGCGAAACGCCGUUAAAACAAUACGAUAAUAUGCCUUUAUAUUUCGUUACGACGGGAACGUUUGUUUUAUAAUUUUAGUUUCCGCGUAAAACAAUAAGCUAGGGAGCGAUUAUACCAUAGUUUUGCGCCGUUGUUGUAGUAUUAUGUGCGCAUAGUGUUGUCUGGAGGAAAGGGGGGGGGGAAAACGAAACACUUCAGGGGCCUGCAGCGUAAUAUUAUUAUGACGUCUGUAGCGGACGCGAUCGAAAAUUUCGUAUCUAUGCGAACAUUUUUUUUCCUCCUCCUCCUCCUUCUUCUUGCGUAUACAUACAUAAUACAAGUGUGGUAGGUACAGUAGUCGAACGUAUAAACGGCACUUCGGAGGAGUCGUUUUUGGAAUAUUUCCCGCGUACCCUCGGCGCCGCGGUUCGUUAUUGUUGUUUUAGCUCGUUUUGCCGUAAAAAAAAAAAAAAAAAAAAAAAAAAAANNNNNNNNNNNNNNNNNNNNNNNNNNNNNNNNNNNNNNNNNNNNNNNNNNNNNNNNNNNNNNNNNNNNNNNNNNNNNNNNNNNNNNNNNNNNNNNNNNNNNNNNNNNNNNNNNNNNNNNNNNNNNNNNNNNNNNNNNNNNNNNNNNNNNNNNNNNNNNNNNNNNNNNNNNNNNNNNNNNNNNNNNNNNNNNNNNNNNNNNNNNNNNNNNNNNNNNNNNNNNNNNNNNNNNNNNNNNNCCCCCCCCCGGGUGGCCGUUUCGAAACAAUGCGCGUCGCCGGGCCGUUUGUGUUUGUUCGCCGCGUCGUGGUAACACACUCUCGGUGUAUUGUGUACUGCGCGCGCGCGUGACAAUCUAAUUUACGCACUUCGGAACGUCCGGAUAUAUCGCGGAAUUAGCGCGCGUCUAUAGCGUAUAACGACAACAAUAAUAGUAACAAUAACAACGACAAUAAUCCGCGCGGUUACGGUGCGCACGACCCGGGACGGCCGCCGCGCCGCGUAACGUACACGAGCGUUUAUUUAUUGCGCCGCGUCGCAAUCGCGUGCGGGACCAGGUAACGCGGGGGUGGACCUUGUUUUUCAGUCGGUUUUCGAUUCCGCCGUUAGCGUUUGCCGCGCAGAUCGCGUACGGUAUUUCGGUAUCGUGCCGCGCGGCACGCGCGUACGCCUCGUCGUUUCGUGUCGCGUGUUAUGACCGGCGGCGGCGGUGGCGGUGGUGGUGGUGGUGGGGGGGGAAACGCGAACGAAAAGGGUAGCAUAAAAAAAAAAAAAAAAACCUAGGAAAACUGUUAUAAUUACGCAUAUUAUAUAACGAUAUACCCCAGUAUUUGUAUAACACGUGUUUAUAGGCAAUUAUUAUAUCGUAGGUAUUUUUUUUCUUCUUCUCAAUAAGAACGCUUCAUAUUUAUAGCAACAGUAUUGGCGUUUUGUGUUUGACGCCGUUGCCCGUCGUGUUACGUUUAGAUGUAUAGUACGGUUUAAACAAUCGCUCGUAUUAUUUCGGAUCGGCGAAACCGCCGCCGAGACGCGUAUCCACGAACAACACAUUAUCAACACGGUUGUUGUUUUUUAAUUCGGCGUCGCGCGUAAAAAAUAUACAUAUAGUGACGUGUGCGUCUCGGUGUAACGGAAUGGAAGGGGGGGGGGUGAUAUUGGGAAAACAAAAAAACAAAUCGAAUACUUCAAGUCCAUAUAAUUAUAUCGUAAUGCAUUUUUUUUUUUUUUUAUAACAUUGGCAACUUCUUGCGCAAAUCCUCAGAUAUUUUUAUGUUAUUGCUAUUUGUCCGUCGCUUUUCUACUUUACGCACGGGAUAAAAAAAAAGUAUCACAUCGCGUUUUUAUAAAUUUAUCGGGUUGUUUAUAGUCGCGUACACCUCUAUCGGAUUUAAUGCGAAUUUGUUGAAUGAAAAUCGCGUUUUCGUCGUUUUUAUGAUCGACAGUUAACACUAUAUAACUUGCAUUUCUUUCAUGCAAUAAUUUGUUGUUUACGUAUAACGUCGUGUUUUGUUCUCGCACGCUACCCGUUUUGAUUUCGACAGUUUUCGAUCAAAAACAUUAACAACAAUAUUGUAUUAAUAAUAAUAAUAAUAAUAAUAAUUCAUAAAACCAAACGAAACCUGCAAUACCGGCGGUUAUAAUAUCCGGACAUUUGCCUGCACACACGCACAAAAAGGCUAUAAGUAAUCGUUUAAUUUUUUUUUUUUUUUUUAAAUUAAAAUACGCAAUUUAUAGAUUUUUACCAGUGUUUUUACCGAGCGUACGCGAGUCCGGCGUUUUUUUUUUCCUUCUCAAAAUCGGAAUAAAUUUAUUGUAUGUACAGUAUGCUCGGUAUUUUAUUAAACUCGUCUCGAGAUCCAAUAUUUUUUACUCGUUAAAUUCGUACCCGUAUUAUACUAUAUUCAUUUUGUUCGAAAACGUUUUAUAGAGGCGUAUAUAAUUUCGCGAACUAUACAGAGCGUGUAUAAUAUAUCAGCAUUAUAGUCCUAGAUAAGUAAUAAAAAUUGUAGUGCCUAUACAUUCCGGUAUACAUCGUUGAAUUCGAAUACAUUUCGCCCUUCCACUCGGCCAGAAUUGCACGCGAGUAUCAACGUAUUUGCAUUGUACGUUAUUCAUUAAAUCGCAUUUAACCGUAUGGAAUAAAACGUAUGCAUGCAAUUUCUUCAAGUAUUUUAACGUCCCGAAUGACUGCAGCGCGCACGCUGUCCGGUUUUAGAGUUUCGAAUUAUUUUCCCGUUUUCGUCUGCGCGUAACGCAUUGUACGAGUGCCCACGCGAAAUCCGAGUCGAGUGAGUGGACCGACGUUCGGCACGGCACGGAUAUUGCAAAAUCUAUGUUUUAAAAUCGUAGUAGGAUUUUUUUUUUUCCCCGUGCGUGUAAAAAAUGCGCGAAUACCGCGUGUAUCGGAACCGGAAACUGCGCGCGUUCCACGUGAAUUUCGGCGAAACAACGGCUGUCCCGUUUAUUUCCGGGAAUCCGGCCGCAUAAGAGACUGGACUUCCCCCCCCCCCACCACAUUCGCGUACAGCGCGCAACGUGUUCGGGCGGCGACUGUUUGUAUAAUAAACGUUCGGACUUUGGUCGCGUGUGCUCUCGUUGGGAGCUUCCGACGUUUUCGCGGGUCCGCGCAGAACACGGAACACAAUGCUGUGUACUGCUGUUGCGCGCGUAUUUUCGGACGCAGAGUAAAACUGUUCGGGGGUUCGACGGUGUGUGUGUGUGUGUACGUGUGUGCGUGCGUGCGUGCGUGUGUACGCAGUUCGGCGGGCCGUCGUACCGUUUAGGCCUAGGGAAUUAAUAAAUCACCGCCGAGGAACAUGCGGGGUGUUUUCUAAGUCCGCGCGGUCCGCGAAACGAACCCCCGUUUCUCUUUAGAGAGAACCGCGCCGCCGUCGUGACGGAAUUGAUAACGCGCAAUUAAUUCGGCAAUUACCCCGGGGAUUCGAUAUAAUAUAUAUAUACGGAUGAGCUUAGGCAAAGAGAAAAUGUAAUUUUCGUGCGCGCCGGAAGAAGAAGAAGAAGAAGAAGAAGAAAAAAAAAAUAAAAAUCCGUCUGAAUAUAGUAUUUAAUGAUUUAGCGAUUAUUAUUCAAACGGUAUACCAAAUGCGUUUUUAAAGUUUUCUUUACGUAAGUAUAUAUAAUAACAAUAAUAAUAAAAAGAAAAUGUAAAUGUAUUUUCAUUUUUUUUUUCGCUCCCCCCCUCCCUCGUGUAAAUCGUUCGUUUCGCUUUUGGGUAUUUGCGCGCGCGCUUUGUCCAAACACAAAAAAAAAAAAAAAAAAAAAAAAAAAACACCGCACCAUACAAUACGCCCGUACUUAUUCGCGCAUAAUUCGACAAUUCUAAACGCGUUCUUCUUUGCUCUAUACGCGCGGUUAUCGUCGUCGCAGGUGUGGUGUACGUUCAUGCGUGUAUCAGACAAACAACUGCGACUACAAAGUCACGUCGAAUCGCCCCCGACCCCGUCGGAAGUACGCAAACAAAAAUGUCAUAUCGCAUUAUAAUCGUCGCGUUCUAAAUACGAAAUGACGUUUUUCUUUUCUCCCGCGUGGUUCUAGACAGACGAACGAUAUUGAAUGAAUAACGAAAACGUCCGUUCAAUUUCCGUUUCCGCGCGUAUGUUUUUCGAAACGGCCCGCGGGUCUUCCGAAUUAUCUGAACGCAUAAAUCCACCUCGAACAUAUUACGUUUGUCUUUUUGGCCGGUCCGGUCCGAACGAACCCCCCACCCCCCGGAACCAGACGCGUUUUUAACCGGCGGCGGAUCGAACGUGAUAGUAAAAGUCGGGUCGAAUGAAUUUUAAUACGAAUUUCGGGCGCGUCGUGGCGGGAGAAGGGCGGUGUGUUUCUUCCUAUAGAUUCGAGCGUCCCUACAGACCCCGACCGAAGCCCUUUGGCAUCGCUCUAGACGACGGUUUGUAUCAAUCGCGGUGCGUCUUGCGCGCGAGUUUCGGCUCUCCCCGACUGCGGUUUUUUUCACGCUCUCGAGUUUUGCCCGCAAUAGUGACGCGCAGCACAAAUAUUAUUAUUGCGUACCGCAGUUCGGUGGCGCAUACACGGUUCGUUGUUUUUUUUUUUUUUUCACGAACAAUCGAUUUUCACGUAAGAACGUUCGACGACUCCGUAUCGAUAACGCCAGUGACGGGGAGAUCUCGCGCGCUGCUUUUACGGCGCGGUUGUGUUUCCCUCUCCGGAAACGGAACCGUCAAAUACUACGCGGGGCGGAUACGGAAUUGUAAUGGUAUGUAACGCGAAGAGACGGACGACCGCGUAUAUUACGAAAUUAUAUAUGGAUAUUAUACACACAUACGUGUAUCGUAUAUUAUAAAAACGUGUCGACCCGAACACGAUUAUACACUCAAAAAACGACGAGAACCGCCACGGCGAUAUUUCAUAACUACCCGCGACGGACGGUUAUUUAUUUUCGUUUUUUCAUUUUCAUUUUUUUUUUUUUCCCCCAGACCUCCUCGCUCGCGUCACGGCGCCGGUAUCGGUGGCCGCGAGGGGCGGGCCAAAAAGUGGAGAUAAAUGCGCCACUUUCCCGUUUUUCUCCGUCACCGACGACGAUAUUAAUUCGACGUUUAAACCGUCCGCGAUUAAGCGAUCAUCAGUCAUCCUUCUCCCGUGUGUGUGUGUGUGUGUAUAUAUCUAAUAUUAUUGUUGUGCGUAUAUUUAUGUGUAUACGCAUUAUACGCACUCGCACCCCGCCCGCGGGCCGACAGAUUCAAUAACAGCGGCGAUAUACGCGUUUAACUGCUGUCCGCCGGCCCGCGAUUAAUUAUAUUUUUGUCACAACAUUGUCCCCGCGGAUAUAAUUGCUCGGCCGUUCGAGGGGUUUGGGUGGAGGGGGGGUUCCGGGGUCAUAUAUGCCGGCGAUUUGUAGCGCGUACCCCUUAUAUAUUGUUGUUAUUAUUAUUAUUAUUAUUGUUAUAUCCGCGGGGGCAAGGUUCGUCCGGCGAUUAUAAACGCGUUCGACGGCGGCGGCGGUGGCGACGGCGAUAAUGACGACAAUACCGCGGACCGCGACCGGAAGGGAUUUUGACGCGGGAAGAACAAAAAAAAAAAAAAAAAAAAAAAGAAUAAAUACCCCAGCCGCUUCAGACGUGUCCGGUACGGUUUCUCCGGGCACGCCCGCACGGUUAUUAAUAAUAUCCCCCGUAUCUCGGACCGUUGUCGUCGGGACGGCCCGCGACUCGCGUCGACGAUCCGGCCGUAGCCGCAGCAGAGCCCCCCCCGUGUUAUCGAGCAGACGUUUCCGCCGCCGCCGUUUUUCGCGGGCCAUCCGUUCGGGACGGCGCGUGAUUUUCGCCGGAGCGCGGCGCCGUACCGCGGACAUCGGCCCGUGAUUUCAUCGGCGACCGUACGUCAACGGCGAGACGUGACCGGUCCCGCGGCGGCGCCCGGUUCGGUGUUCUGCACCGACGGCGUGAAAUGUCCUCCGCGAACGUUCGACGCGGUGCCGGCCGCGGAAAACACGCGCCCACACACGUUUUGGUUAUUGCAAACCUUGCAGUAAUGCCGCGGAAAUCAACCGGCGCGACGGCGCGAUAUCAGCCCGCCGGCACUUCGGCUUUUCGACGCGAUUGCGCCCGCCGUCGCAACAUUACGCGGCCGACGAGCAAUAUCCGUAAUACCAUGCAGUUCGGCGUGUCGAUUGUUUUUACGCGGCCGUACCGACUACGGUCGUAGUCAACGUCGCGUUACUCUGUAUUUGUUCGGUAUUUGAUCGCGAUACACGGUAAAGCCGUGUACCGACUUGUCCCGUCCGGUCGGCCAGUUACCUACGCCCGCCGAGUCGACCCCCCCCACCCACGUGUCCCGCGUGAAUUUCGUAAUUCCAUUAUUAUUCGUAUGGUAACCCCGCGCGUUAUUUUAAUACGACUUUUGGAUUGCGUUUCGAGAGGUCGUAAUCAUUUCUGGACACGACACGACGCGACCGUACCUCGGCGGCGGCGGCGACGACGGCGACGACGACGACGACGACAACGGAGACCGCAAUUAAUCACCUAGCAUCGAGAUACCGCCCCUUUUCUCUCUCUCUCUCUCUCUCUCCCCCGUACGUUAUGUUUGUCUAAACCCCCUACCCCCUUCGAGCGGCCACAGCCAUCAAUCAUUCCGGCGCGUUGUGUGUGCGUUCGACCGGUCCACACGGAAUAUAACGUCCCGCCGACGUCCGUGUGAGAAACGCAUUAUUAUUAUAUACGAAUCCGAUGCACGACGUCGAUUAGCCGCCGCGCUAUUCAAAAGACACGUGACCGGUCAAUAUAGGGUUGCGGGACACGGGCUGUGCACGGGCCGCGAGGGUCGUAAACACGGGGAGAUUAUACAUUAAACACACGUUUUAUUAUAAUAUUAUAUCUUGGGAUUUGAUUGGCACGUACACACAAUGUUAUGUAUUCAACUAACCCCCGGGGGAUUUCCGAACGAAAUUAGAAAAUUACGCGGGAGCGUUCGGUAUUGGCGGGCCACGUGUUUCGGUGAUUCGGCUUUUGAAGCGCUCGGGGCCGGCCCGGGCGCGGCGGUGUGCCGUCGUUCGGAAAGCCGCGCGGGUUCCGUUUGUUUGCAAAACCACCGCCGUUGAUGAUAAUGUUUCGAUCGUAUUUCACGCGACGACGCGUGAUACUUUCAAUCCGACGUUUGUUCAUCGUUGGAAAAAUCCAAUUACUAAUUACGGCCGAACCCAUCCGCCAGUGCAAGAUCGCGUCAACAGCGUUAACCUACAUUAUUAUCCAUAAAAAAAAAAAAAUUACGAAAAGAAAAACAUAAAAUAUGUAUACAAAGUGAUUACCACUAUACAUACGGGGGAAAAAAAAAAAAAAAAAAAAAAUUCAGUCUUAGAUUAUGUCGUUCGUCGUGUUACAAAUAAUUCGUAAUAAUCAGAAUGUCCUUUGAAGUUGUCGUUUUGAAAGACGAACCUUUUAUGUACAAAAUGAGCGAAAGUUUUUACUGCUAAUAUAUAUAGUAUACUUAAAGCGAUAAUAAUAGUUUUUUUAUUGUUUAUUGCAAUAAUACGAACCUAACAAGUGUACACUGCUGCAGGCGAUAAUUGAAACGCAGAACAGAAAAAGUGCGCUGCAAUUUUGGCGUUUACUUUUUACACGGGACAGAGUACGAAAUCUAUUUAAUUCGGUGAAUUUAAUAAAUUUAGAUUAUUUGGAAGAAGUGUACUGGUAACCAAAUUACCCAUUAAACCGAAUGAUUGAGUGUAUAGGUAAGGCUAAACUAUUAGGGCGAAUAAAUAAGGAACCAAUUUUCUUAAUCAAUUUUAUGAGAAGUGUUACGUAUAGUAAUAAUUUAUUAAAUAAUACGCGAAACCUUUAUCCAAACAACUAUUACUACCAAAAUCAUAAACAUUUAAUUGACUUUUGAUUUCCCUUUUGAUCACAUAACAUAAUGUUAUUACUUAGUAACUCGGUUUUAUUUAGCAAGCGCCACAUGAACAAACAUAAAAUAAAAUCAAUUAGUCCUUAUUUUAUUAACCACAUCAUUUGAGUUAUUUAUAUUCCUGAAGUUAAUAAAAAAAAAAAAAAAAAUAGAUUUAAAGAAACAAGGUCGAAUAAUUAUUAUUAUGUUCAUUUAUUAAAAUUUUUUAUCGAUUUGUGCCUUUAUCGAUAUCAAUAAUUUUAAUACAUUUUUAUGGAACAAAGACCCCCUAAAUCAGCAGACGGGUACUCUUUCAUAUCAACAAAUAAUAUUAUUUAUUUUAGAUGAUUCCGAGUGGAGCGAAGAAGCUUAUAGUUUUACAAAGAUUUUUUUUUUUUUUUUUUACCUUUGCGCAACUUUUUUUUCCUGUGAAUAACUUUUCUACCAGGAAUUUUGUUCCGAUUUUCAAAUGUAGCGUAUUUUACCGACAGAAAAUUCGACUGGGGUGUGAUACAUUAGAGAGAUCGGUUUUUUGACUUUUUCAAAGAUUUUCAUAAUAAUUUGGAAAAACGGGUAAAUUUACGAAACGUAUAGUAUUUUCAAAUCGUACGUAUUACGCGGCCUUUCGAAACACGUAUAACCGAACUUCGCUCGGAACCGUUUUUCGUUAGCAACGUUCAAUCGUCGCGCUCAGAUAUGCAUUAAACUCCCCCAUCUAGUUUCCCAACUUCUUACCAACAACAGUGGCUACAUCCACGUGCGAAGUAUAUCCGUUUUUUUUGUUUCUUUUCACUUUUGAUUUUAUACAUUUAUCGCUUUUUUUACAGAUUACCUUUCGCGGUAACCGAGAUUAAUGAGCGCGUAUUAUGUCUUCGGUUUUGAUUGACCCCGGCGGCUCGUGCAAUCAAAAAAUAAGAACUCUUUUGACAUACCCGCCUAACUAGCUAAGUAUUUUUCCUUUUUUUUUUUUUCUGUUUCCCCUUCGGACGACGCAAUAAUUAAGUUAAUGGACUUUGCGUGUUUUCGGAGGCUCGUAAUGCCUUUCUUAUUUCGAUCUUUCCAAGAUACCGGCUAAAUAUCUGUCGCUUUAUAUAUAUUUAUACCAACUCACACACACACACACCUACGCGGCAUAAAAUAUAAUAUGUACGGGGGUGGGGUGGGGGGCGGUCGCGGCAGACCGCGAUAAGAAACGGCGAUACGCGAUACACACUGCGUGUCGGCGCGUAAAUGGUUUCCCACUAUCACUUUCGUCCGCGCACUGUACACAGUGGUAUAGUAUAAUAGUGUUUGAAUUAAAGCUUAAAAUAAUAUCCAAUAUUGCGUCAAGAACCAACGAUUAUGUCGCGAAUAAAACGCGUAUAAUGGUGUACGCACGUCAGUCAUGCACGGCGAAACCCAAUAAUCGUAUCACGAGAAAUUAUUAUACACACUGUGUUAUGUAUCACGUUUGUUAUCGUUGUUAUCAUCAUUUUGCGCCGUGAAAUUGCCCUCGAACGGAAUAUUACCGUGAUAUGUGUUCGCCCGCGUCCGAUACCCCGUCGCCCAUUACAACUCCCCUUACGCUUUGUAUCGCGUUGCCUUUGAAAUGUUUAUCGAAAACUCGCGGCGUGCGCGGGUGCACACCCGAAACCGGUCGACGGCUAGCGGCGGCGGCGGCGGCGGGGGGGGGAAACGUAAAUUUCGCACCGUCGCCCCCGCGGAUUUACGGUCCGCGAUCGCAAGAAAAACGGCGGCGGCGCGAAACUCUUUAACGGGCCCGAAACACGGGGAAUAAAAUAUUCGAUAAUAUUACGCACGUCCCGUAGUAUCCCAGUUACCGCAGCGCCCCUCCCCCGCCUCCCCCGACCUUUCCGGCCUUAAGGGCCUGAAUACGAUGUUUCGCCACGGGCAUUAGAAGUGAUAGUCGCGCCACCGCUGCCCUCUUGCAAUUCGCUCUGUUCGCGAACAGUGUUCUAAUCGAAUUAUUGUUUCCAAAACGAACGGCCUCCCCCUCCUCCCCUACCCCAUCGCGCAUUUCGGCGAUCUCGACUCGAUCGGGUAGAAAAGACGGGACGAGAUAAGGAACGCGGGGUUUUUAACACGACGCGCGGACGCGAUGGAAACGAAAUAUGGGUACGCGGCCGACACGGGCGAACGGUCUCGGAUCGUAUUUUAUUAUUACGAACCGGACCGGUCGUCGUCAACGUAGUUUUGCAGUUUCGUCGCCGGUUUGUUACGUGGACAGUCAAUGCGUAACGAUGUCAUUAUAUCGUUAUAAUGCGCGCCCCGCACGCGUAAUAUUAUUGUUGUCGAUGACUAAAACCGUAUUGUCGAAAUAACGUUCCGUACGCGAACGUUACGAUUUGACUACGCGUAACCACGUCUAAUAGGUACGCCGUCGUCUCGAACCGCUCUCGGAUCUCUUAUCGUCGUCGUCAAAGUCGUUGUACUUAUCCGGUGGCGGGGAACGGGGUGGUGGUGGUUGUAAAUAAAGACAGCCAAAACAAACGCCGUUGUUGCACUCCUCGUGUCCGUGAUGUGUUUACUUACAAUGAUGAUGAUGAUGAUGAUAAUAAUAUACACUCGGGCUGCGGCGCGGACGAAGGAGUGAGGGAGGGUAUUGGUACACCUGCGACGGCGACGCUACCAUGUAACGUAAUAAUAUUAUACGAAUAAAAUAAAUGUCAUCGACAAUACGGCGGCGGCGCGACAAUACUCCUCCGGGGCGUAACCGGUUUGGUUAUACCGUCGUAUACCGUCGUCGUCGUCGCCGUCGCCACAGAGUCCGUUGAACUCUCUGCGCGUGUAGCUGUUCGCAUUGUACGCACAGGCGGCGGUGGUGGCAGUGGCGACGGCGGCGGCUCACCGGCCGCACGUUGUUGUGACCGGCCGUGCGCGAGCGGUUCAAGGACAACCGCGAUAUUGUUGUUGUGUUCGAUACCCGUACACGAUAUUAUUGUUACUAUUAACGCGGUAUAAUACGGUAGCCGCCUGGAAAAAAAAAAUAAUAAUAAGAAUCUCAUCGGAACCGAUAGAUAAUAAAAAGACGGGGACCGCGGCGGCGGUGACGAGAAACGCUCCACAAUAUAAUCGUGCGGCGGUGGCGGUUGCUGCGCGCCGCUGGCAGGUGGGGUCGGCCACUUUAACCGCAUCUGCGAUAUCCGCGAACAAUCGAAUCUUCGCGACGCGUCGUCCGUCGAAACCGCCGCCGCCGCCAAUUUUGCUGUUCCGCGUCGGCGUUUUGUCGGAUUUUCAGGUUUUCCGUCCCGUCAAAAUUCAAACGUAGAAUACUCGACGGUUCCGACUAAUAACCGCAGAGGUUUCCGCACAGUUUUUACGAGAUACGUCAGCAAAAUCCGUACAAUUUAUAUCGUAGAUUUCGAUAUUUGUACCACUAGCUAAAUAUUCCUCGGUACUUCUGUAUAUACUGUCUUUACUAUCUCCGAUCCCUGCAGUGGCGUAUCCGACGUGGAUUUUCCAUUGCCCACCUCCCAUCCGCCUGCGAUUCUCUAAACCCGUUGCGGUGUUUUUGUCGAAUAGGUUUUAGACCGACACUUGGGACCGUCGGUGUAGCGACGAACCUUCUUAAUAUUAUAAAUAACCAGAAAAAAGGAAGGGGGGGGGAGAGGUUACAAUACCAAAAACUCCUCCUGACCGCGUCGCUGCUUAGGACACUGUAACUUUCUUGGAGUGAUGGUACCACGUUUAAACCGACAGGAUAUGUAGGUUAGGUUUUCUAACUUGCUGUUUUUCAAGAGCAUCAAGAUACAUGGUUUGCCAGCAAUUUCAUUUACAUUCAACCGUAGUGUUGAAAUUUCGGGGCCGGAGAGCCUUAUCAUUAUACAAAGACCAAAAUCUAUGAAACAGCGAACGUGUUAUUUUUGCUGCCCAGAAACGUUUCGCCGCGGGAUUUAAACGAACCCAUUAUAUUAAUAAUAAUAUUAUGAUUGCAACACGUUGAAUUCUCUCUCUCUUUCUGUCUUUCUUUCAACACAUAUUGUAAUUAAAAAGCUAACGUGCGUACGUUUUUAUUCUCUCGGGUCUGUAUCUGCUGCUGCUGUAGCGAAUGUCUAACGAGAGAAAAUGCAAAAUUUCGCAACACCAAUAUUUGAGAAUUGAAUAAUAAAUUAUAGUGGCCGCGCAAUACGCACAGGAGAAGAGCCCGACGCUCGUCUCAUUUACAUUUCAAACUGUCAGCAAAAUGUGCACGCGCACUUAGGCUUUUGUCAUCGUCGUGACGAUUAAACGGAUGUAUAAUAAUUAUAAUAAUAUAAUUUGCGUGUAUACAAAUUAUCGCGUGUGAUAAUAAUAUUAUUAUUUGAUCGUCAUUUCGGCGGUCGGGAAAUAAUAAUACACCUAUACUCGCUGCGAGUAUUAUAAUAUAUAGGGGACAGAGGUACAAUAUAAGUAGGUACCGGGGAAACUUCCCGCGGACUUUUGGGAACAAUCCAACGGACUCGGGAGCCAAAAACGGAGUUUCCGAGUUUUAGCGAUGCUGUGCAAUUAUAUCACAAUCCGUUAAUGGUGUUUUUAAUCAUCGCCUAUUAUAUAUAUAUAUGUAUAUAUGUGUGUAUACAGCUUCGUCGUCGACUUUCCGAGUGCGGAAAUAUUAGAACGCGGAACUCUGAAGUGCGUGCAUAUAACCAUAUACGGGUGUAAGUAAGAGCCUAGGUAAUGAUGGCCAAAUCAGAAAUGGCCGAUUUUGUUUAUGUUUUAAGCCUUUCCCCCCUCUCCCUGACUUUUUUUGUAUUUAGCCAUAUUUUUCUGUAAAUUAUAUUAUAAAUAUUUUUUUAUACCGUUUCGGUACGCAUUAUCACAGAUUACCAAAGUGAAAAUAUAAAAACAACAGAUACGCCUAAAGCCCUAAAGCAGCUGGUUUUCAGAUCACUUAUAAUUUAAAGCUGCAUAUCAGACAGCUCUAUUUUUAAUUAAUCAUUUUAUUUAGGUGUUUAGUUUUACCUAGAAAUACUAAAACUUUAACAAUAAUUCGUGUAAGCGGAUGAACCGAAAUAGUGGAGGAAAUCUACCUUAAACGUACUAUUCGAUUUGGGCGAUAUUUAUAGCCAUCUAUCCAAACAAAUUUGUUGCGAUUAAUUUUAAAAUAAUUCACACGCCUAAUUAUCAAUUCAGUAAAAUAAAUAAUACAAAAACUGAAUCGAUACAUUUCACUAAAUUGCAAAUGCAUUACGUAGAAUUUAUCAAAAAAAAAAAAACACAAUAUGAUGUAUAAUUAAAUAUGACGUAUUCUAUGCAUUUUUCAGUAACUUACCUAGUUUAUAAUGACAACGGUAAAAAGUUACUUCGGGCAUAUUACCGGACAAUAUGGUUUAUUAUACGUGCAUAUAACGAAUAUUAAUAAGUUGUAUGGCAAACGCAUUGCAUGUACCCACAAUCGACUUUAGCCAAAAUUAAUAAUACGGUAUAAUAUAAUUAAAUAUGUACCUACAUUGUGUCUAUUUUAAAUAAUAAUGUUAUAGGUAUUUUAGUUACGUAUUUCGUUUACGUUAAUAUAACACGAUAAAAUAAUAGUAUAUUGGUAUCACAUGAUAAUCAAUAUUCAUUAUACACGUAACAAAAUAUCAAUUGCAUAUUAUGAAACGUUAAAUGACUUGAUAGAGUUAUGCGUGUGGUGGCGAGUAACAAUAACAAAAUAAUUGUUUAAAUUUAGCCGAAUUUCAAUAAUAUACGCAACACAAGUGGCUUAUUUUCCAUAAACGGUUGGUAAAAACAAAUCGCCAUCAGCCCCUCCCCCCUCCUCCCGCUACAGUACAACAUACCCGUUAUGUAAUUAAAUUGAUUUAGUUCCUUGGUACUGGUAUUUUAUUUAAAUAUUAUUGAAAAACCACACUUCUGACAUAUUUAUAAAUAUUGUACUUAAAAAUACAAUUUUUUUUAAAAACAAAAUAUCAAUAAAGUAUGUACCUAAUAGUAGACGGUUAUAAAAUAAUCAACAAACUUAAUGGUUUUCUGUGGUGGCGAUAGACUGACUGCACGGACGCGUAUAUUCACUCUCUGGUAACCGACGUUGAACUAACGAUUUUGUAUUAUUAUUUUAUGGAUUAUGACGAUUGUGGUCCCCGCAGCUUCACGUUUCGACGAAACCUAUAGGUACUUAAUACUUAGGUAGGUUACCUAUAGGCUUUUUUAGAAUUAAUAUUUGUCGUGAGCAUUUCUACGAAGACGGGUCAGCGCAGUAAUCGUAUCUAUAACAUUAUAAUAACGCUGUACGUAUUAAUUACAAAUUAUUUCCUCAGCACUUUCACUACCCACGUAUGGAAUCAAAAUAAAGUACAACCUAUCGAGCUGCUGCGCGCGCGAUUUUCUUCUAAGCAUCGACUGCAAAGGUUAAAAACGGCUUAAAAAGGUUAAAAUAUGUUUAACAAAAUUAUAUUUGUUUUCGUCGUGACACAACAGUGUGAACAUUUUGCCGGAAAAACAUAGAAAUGUUUGCAAAAAAAAAAGAAAAAAAAAAGGUUAUAGAUAAAGUAUUAUAUAGUUGAGUUAUUUUAAGAAUUCUAACGAAUUUUUCGAUAUUUUCUUGGUCAGGUCACAGUGUUUCGUACAAAUGUUCAGGCAUAUUUUUAAGAAUUUUCUAGUAGCUGCGACAGUAUAGUUGGAUAGUACCUUAGUGACUUGAUCGGUAUUCGGUACAAAGGCUAACGUAGGAAUAUCUUAUCCAUAUUAAUUUAUACAAGCAAUUAUAAUUUUUUUUAUCUUCAAACCACAAAAUUUGUUUUAAUCAAACACGUAACGUGCACACGAAAGUUUUCACUAUAAAUCGAUAUCUAAAAUCGUUUAGUUUUAACAGCCUCCGUAUGUUCACACGCAUAACGAAUUCGAAUAAAUUAUCUCGAACUUUGUUUUUUUUUCCUUUAUAUAACCUAUUCACUAUAUUACCAAUUUAUUUUUUUUGGUGCAAAUAUACACUAGCGGGAUAAUAUUUCGAACUAUAAACAUAUUAUUUUUGUUUGCAAUCGAAUUUUCCAAAACCAGAUUUUUAUAUACCGCCGGGGUACGUAUAUUAGGUAUAGUAGAUAGGUACCUAUCGGGGGGAAAGGGAAAAAAACUGAAAGAGACCGGCAGCGAUGAAUAAAAUAUAAGAUUCCGAAAAUAAUACGAACCGCCAAUAGCGCGCGGCGAGGGUUCCUCUGUAAAUAUACGACGACGGUACGAAAAUAGGAAUCGACGAAAAAAAAAAUAAAUACAUCAUUCAUAUUUUAUUAAAAACAAUUUUUUUUUUUACGCGCAGCGAAUGUUUAAAACGAAAAACGAACGAAAUAAUAAUAAAAAAACAAUACGCCGACGACGAAGACUCGUUAUAAUCGAACGUUCGUCGUUAGUGCGUACCUAAAUAUAAUAUUACAGAUAUGAUAAUAUAUUCUUAACGCAAACAUAAAUCGCGGGCGGUCGCUUAUUUUUUUUUUAAAAAAAAGAAUACGUCAAAUCGAAUGUUCGCAUUUUUGACAAGUUGACCUACAAAAGGUCAGGACUAUUGUCAUAAUAAUAAUAAUAUCACAUCGCGGCCGGAGUCCAACUCUUUUCCCCGGCCAAUAAUUUAUGUGCCAAUCAUAUUUAUUGUGCGCAUCGCGACGCGUCUCGUGUACGACGCGGUGCUAAAGAAACGGUCUGUAGGCAUACUGUAAAGGCGCCGCGCGUUGCAGCUUGCAAAGGGAACGGCAAUCGUUCGGGGAGCGGGGAGUGGGAGGGGGGUACAGCACCCGUAUCAAUUAUCGUUGUACAGGAGUGAACAAAUCCGUCGUAGAAACGGACGCAAUGUUGUUGUCAAUCGCGUCUGUGGCCAAUCGGUCUUUGCGUGCCAUUGGGUGUAAGUCACGAUGCCAUCGCGGUGGAAAUAUGUUUCGACCGCUGUCCGCCCGAGGACCGGAGACGGCCGACGAAUAUACAAAACCGUGUCCGUUCUCUUUUACAACCGUCUUCUGUAUUAUGCGUGAUUUUUCUGAACAAUACACAGUAACGGGCGUCGACGGCUGUACAUCUUCAGAUUUGCUCGUAUAUAGAAUCAUCGGCUAUUCUGUUGUUUUUUUAUACGAUUUCGGUCACUCGAUUUUCCGACGGUGAAACGACUGCCGAUAAUAUCAUAUACGUAUUAUGACUCGAGACGUAUUAUAAAACGAAUAACGGGUUUGGUCCGCGAUUAAAAACGAUAUAGCAAAAACCGUGCCUUUUUAUCGGAUCCCAUCAUCACUUAUCAGCGACAGUAACCGUCGUCGUCAGACUUUAAAUUUGAUUUUGAUUUUAACGUUUUAUCUAGCCCAUGGGAACUAUUAAUAUUAAGUUAGUAUAAUAUUAUAAACUCAUGAUGAUACUAAAAAAAAAUAUAUACACAUAUAUAAUAAAAUAUAUUGUAUACAUUUUUUUUUCCUAAAUCCAAUGUGUUGGCGAAAAAAAAGGAAAUCCACUUAAUUGUGCGAUCGCGAUUACGAAUAAAUUAGUAGGCUUUUUCGAGCUUUUCGAGGAGAAAAAACAGUAAAAUUUAAAAAGUUAAAUAAUAAAGCGGGCUAAUCGCAUAAAAAAAGAACCCGGAAUACCGUAAAUUCCUCUUAAUUCGCAAGCACACAAUGCCCCUGAGUCACUUCCGGAUUUAUAUCGCCUAACGCCUAACCUCCGGUAUACACCUACCUAAAAUGUGUUGAAACCACUCUGUGUAGGUUUCGAUAAAAGGAUAUUACUUAAUUAGUUUUCAAGUUUAUUAACAAAAGGAAUAUUUUCCACACACAGGGAAAACAGUGUGAUACAGUAUGAUCCAUUAAGGUGGGCUAAACUCGAUAUUUAGAAAAUUAUUGGCUCUUUUAACCCGUAUUAUAUACGAUUAUGAUAUAAUUUAUUCAUAUUUUUCAAGAAGCCUCUCACAAAAUAAACUCUUCCAAUAAUCUUUUAUGAUAAUUUUCAUUCACAAUUUACGUAAGUCGGUAGGUACUUCUAUUGAAAUAACACGUGCAAUAUAUUUCUCUCUUUCUAUAUUAUCUAGCUUGACAUUUUUCAAAAGUCUUAGCCGUUAUAACACAAUUUCUUUUUAAUCUAUCACUAGUCUAUCUCUAAUACAUUUUUCCCAAGCCAUAUUUUCCAUUGUCUCCGGGUCUUCUUUAAUUCUGUCCAACCAACGCUUUCUGCUGGUUGUCCAUCUCGGCUUUUUAACCGUCUGUGUCUAUUCUAUAAUACAAUACAGCCGCUCCGAUUCCGUUUUCCUUUUCCUCGCACAUUGCACGCACGAACCGCUGCAGUAACCGCCCACCCUUUAAUAUACAAUUUGUUGUUUAGGUACACGACGGUAAUUUACUUGUUAUCUCAUCUUCUACGCCAUUGUUCGUUUUCAACAUCGAAAACCGCACCGCCGCGUAUUGAUGUCGAUAUUUUAUAUGCGAUUUUAACCGUCGUAGAAAUCGAUUACCGGUGUUAAAAUCCGCGAAAACUCUGUAACGAUAAUAAUUGACACAGGGGAAUUUUGCGAGGACACAAGCUCGAAAGGUUGUGCGUUCAUCGAAGUGUGUUCUAACUGAACGGACGACAACAACGCUAUAUAGUAUGUAAUAUACUUUCGCGAUACUGAAGAAAAACACCCGUUAGUCGAUAAAAGUUUGUUUUCAUUCCGCCUCAUCGCGAAAAUAGGCCCCGGACGGGUUGGCUUUUCGGCUGUCGGCGAAGAAUGAAAAACGAAUAAACCGGAAAUCUCUAUAUACUCGAAUAGUGGUAUAAUACUAUACAAUUGUAUUGGCUGCAACAUUAUAUUAUAUAUAGAAUUUAUACCCGCUAUAUAGUCUAUUCUCUCUCUCUCUCUCUCUCUUUUUUUUUUUAUUUCUGUAGAAAUUUCGCAUAAUGUUUCAAUUACCGCUUAUUGUAAUAGGUUUAGUUCAUUUGUGUAUAGGGACGAAUUAAAUUCGCAUUUUUCAACCGGGGUUCAUAUUGGGCCUUUUAAUACGAAUACCGUUUUUCCCCUACUAUAUUUUUAUUCGACACAAAAUUAUUCAAUAGGCCGUAUAAAUCCCCCGUUUUACAUUAAUAUAUUAAAUAGGGUUUAAAUGUUGAGAAAAAAAAAUGAACUGAGUACAAAACGAAAAUCCCUGUUCGUUAAUUAUAAUAUUUUACGUGAAUAUCAUAAUACACAAUAUGUAGUGGCGCGUUUACCUAAGAGUCCGGGGGUACUGGGCACGUUCUUUAAGAGCCACAAAAAAAAAAAAAAAAAAAAAUCAAAUCGGAUAUAUGUUCCUGCAACGUUGUUAAGUAAAAAUUACAAGAAGUAUAUAGUUAGUCAUAUCGUUGUGCUAUCAGGUUACUGACCGCGAUUGAAUAUUGGAGUGUGAUAAAGGAAAGAUAAUUUAUCAAUAAAGACUGUAAUUUGUAUUAUUAAUAGAUUAUAGUUAGGCGAUUAGACGAUUGGAAUUUACCUACAGAUUUAACAUUGAACCCCCUCCAAAAGAAUUUCCAUGUACCUACAUUUAUUAACUAUGAAUUCCCCACCAUCCUGAAAAGUUUAAAUGUCACUGUACAGUGUACGUAUACACCAAACAAAUGUAUACUUUAUUUGAAAUUAUUAUACUGUAUAUAAUAUAAAUAUACGUCACUGUAUACUCUGAAAUAAAUUAUAACACGUUGAUUUAAAUUAAAAUGUAUACCUACGAGCAAUACAUUUCUGCCGGUAUUUUAUAAUAUUGUUUAUUAUAAACACAAUCAAAUUAAAAAAAAAAAAUUCCGCUCAAAUUAAAAAUAAUCGAAGAAAUCGGUGGAAAGGAAAUCUUCAUAGAGAAAUCUCUCGACGAAUAAUACGGUUCAAUCGAUAGUUUUUCACCUAUAGCUAGUUUGUAAAACAUACGGUAAAAACUCAUUACGUCCCGUUGAUGACUAAUCAUUUCGUGUUCUUAAGUCUUCUCCUGCAGAUUUCUCUUAUUUAUCCGAUACAAAUCCGAUUCGAACAAUAUAAUGUCGAUUUGUUGUUUGUUCGGUGAAAUGAGAAUUACUAUUUUGUUGCCGAAAAACCGUAAUUGUGUGUAUACCCUAGUCGAAAAUUGCGGACGAGAUUAAUGCCAAAUCUGGGAAAAAUAAAAGUAAAAAAAAUGUCUUUUCGCGUAAAGUGCGUGUAGUCGAUUUUCAAAAUGUCUAUUUAUAUGUAACAGUGAACUUAAAUUUUUGCUAUUUUUGUUGAAAUUUUCGAUCUUCAGAACUUUUUAUGGGAUAUUUGUAUUAAGACUUUUUGUGAUAUUUUGUUUUUAACAAUUAUUUCUACUAUGAAUGUUUUCAAAAUUGUAGAUUUUUGUCAUUUUUUCAUUAGACUUUUAAAUGCAAUGACGGGAGAAUUUUAUUUGCAUUUUUAGGUGCCAUUCAAACAGAAAUGGGAUAUAAGUGAUGGUUUUUUUUUUAAGGCUCGUAUUCAUUUUAUUUCUGAUAAAAAUACAUAAUAUAAAUAGAACAGUAUAUAUAUAUAUAUAAUGUAUAUGAAUGUACGUAAAACGAAAAUUUUAUUGAGUUUAUUCAAUACAAACCAUAUUAUAUAGUAUACACUGAUGUAAUAUUUAUAACUUUUUUUUUUCCCCGUUUCUACAGUAUUUUCGUAUUUUUUAUGCAUUGAGAAUAUUCUACAUCAACGUAAUUUCUAUCAUUUUCAAUAGAUAUUUUAAGGUGUAAAAUACGCAUAAGUUUUAUACAAUAUUUUCAACAUAUUACUACUUAUAUAUAUAUAUAUAUAACGAUUGGUCGUUCUUUUCAUUCGAUUCCUAAUAAAAUAUUAAUUUUAGUCUCCUUUUGUAUUUUUCUGCAAAAUUAUCCGCGUAUAAAACUAUACAAGUUUUCACGAUUUUUAUAAAACUCUAUAUCCGCGAAUUUGGAAUAAUGUAUAGUGAAAAUGAAAUAAAUUAUUUAUUUGUAUUACUUAUUAUUAUUAUUAUAUUUUUUUUUUUGAAAAACUCGAAUCGCGAGAAAUACAUUAAGAGACAGUGGAUGAUAAUAUUAAAAAUAAUAAUGAUAGUUAAACUAAAUAAAAUUACGCUUUUCUAUAUUUUAUCCGUGUCGCUGUACGUAAAAAAAAAAAAAAAAAAAAAAUAUAAUAAUAAUAAUCUCGAUCACUAAGUGCAUAAAAAGCGCGGCUGCGCGGAUGACGACGCAUACCCGCCGAAUUGACACACGAAAUUCGUGACCGAAAACUCUAGAAAAAAACAACCGAUUUUUACCUAAGUGAACUCGUGGACGCACAAAGACGGAUUGAUAAUGUUGACACAAAAUGGGUAUACAUGUAUACAAAAUGUGAUAAUGCAAUUUUUCCUAUCGACAUUCUUUAAACCCGUGUACGCGUUUUAAUGCUUAUGGGUUUCAACAAUUAUACAUGUGUUUCUAUAAUCGUACGGUUUUCGUCAUUAAAACGGAAUGCGUCUUAUGAUAAUGCGUACAAAACUUACGAGCUGUAUAUGUAUACACAUACACAUAUAUACUGAUUAUGUACUAUACACUACGAUACGAUUUUUUUUUUUCCAUUUUACUUUAUACGUAUAUAUUCUGAACUCAUCGAGUAAUGGGUAUAUGGGUUUAACUAUACGUGAUGCGUUUUAGAUUCGGACCGUAGCCAGGAAUGUAUAUUGGUUUUACAAUGACGUUUCAACAACUUUUCUACAAGAAACCUUGCCCGGGUUUUCAAGUGUAGUAUCUUUUCUAAAAGGAAAUUUUAUCCGGGCGGUAUUUUAUGUAGGCACUUUUUUUUUUUUUUUUUUUUUGAUUUUUCAAGCGGUUUUCAUAUAAUAAUCGGAGGGGGGAGGGGAAACGUAGGGAAAAUGUUUCUAGAAAAGAAACUUCGCUCCGAAUCGUUAGCGACGGUUUAUCGUACAGAUAUAAAUUAUAAGUUUUUCUCUGUAUAUCUUAUCUUUCCAACUUCUCGCGCCUAUAACAAUGGCCCACCCGUGGUGCGAAGUAUAUCCGUCAUUUUGUUGUGCAUCAUUGGAUCGGAUUUUCAAACGUAAAGUGUCUUUGUCGAAAGCCACUUUAGUUUUAGACACGCCGUUUAGUUUGCGGCGUUGGAGAGGACAUUUUUUUUUAUUUGUAAUUUUCUUAAUAGGUGAAGCUACUAAAAACUGGACAAUUUAAUUUUAAUUUUCUUUCAAUAUAUAUAGGCGUUUUUCUGCUAUUUAUAGGUAUUUGAGAUGUUCAUAUUUUAUUUUUUUUUAUUUGGGUUUCACGUGAAUGAAAUAAUAAUCAUUUUUUGGAGCUGCAAAAAUGCUCGAAAAUUCAACACGAGAUUUAUCAUGGGUUUUUCAAAUUUUUACUAUCAAGAAUUAUUUGCGCAUUUAAAUAUUUGAUAAGAAAAUAUUUAAGACACUAGAGUUAUAUAUAUAUUUUACGAUAAGAAUGUGAAAUAUCGAAUGACGCACGGGGAUCAGAACGAUCAGAAAUGUGCUUGCACCACUCGUAGAGUUGUAAUAAAAAUGUUAUAAAUAUUUCGCAUUUUUAUAAAAAUCUACCUAAAAUAAAAAUAUCCGUUAAACAAAUUUCGACGCACGGAAAUAAUGUCGUGCAUCGAACUAUUUUUAUUUGUGUUUUAACCGUUUAAUGUCUGGUUUUUAAGUUUUACCGAGAAAAACGGCUGGGUAUUCUAUGAAUUUCGUCUGUAUCCUUCUCCUAUUAUCUAUGCCCACCGCUUUUCUAUAAACUUAAAAUGUCUGUAAAUAAUAAAUUAUUGUUUUAAAUAUUCGAUGUUUACGUAAUGUUAUUCGGAAAUACGUGGAAAUAUAAAUAUGUUGUACUCCCAUCAGAAUCUGUGGACAAAAAUAAAAAUAUGCUUAGUCAUGAAUAAAACAAAAAAAAAUAGUCCAGAUCGUACAUUUAAAUGUGGGUAAAAAUAGGUAAGAUAGAAAGAAACAGAAAUAAUAAGCCCUCGUUCAAUAAUCGUUUUCCCUCUUUGACUUGAAACACACACGAGGUAUACACGAUGGUCAGUUUCCGUUUUGCCGCCAUCCUCGUACUUGAUAUUGCGAUAUUUUUUUUCGUUUUGUUUUUUUAAAAGCUCAAAAACGUACUAGUUUUAUUAUUAUUAUUUUUUUUUUCUCCAUAAUACUGUAAUAAUCACGUUAUGCUCCUCUAUUUGGCAUAUUAUACCGUUCCGAGUACGUCAUAUAUGUGUAAACAUAGUCUCUAAAACUUGUUCUAUAAAUUCUUCACGUUUAUAUAUAUAUAUAUAUACACGCAGUCCGCGAAUUGUAUCCGGAUUCCGGAUAUUGUUUCAUGCGGAUCUUUAGGCUUGGCAUUUCGAAGGCUAUAAUAUGUGUAUUCAAUUACGUCACGACGACGACGACGACGAGCGGGAGCUGAGUGAGAAAGAGGAGGUUAGUUUGUUCGGCAGAAGAUUUUUUUUUUCUUCUUCUUUUCCUUAUUUAUUUCCUCCCCCCCACCCCCGCAUCAGAAAUCUUUUCUAUUUUAUUUAUCCUUUUCCUAUGCGUUUUUAUACGUGUGCGUGCGUGCAUGUACGUGUGUGUGUGUGUGUGUGUGCGUGUGCGCGCGCGUGUGUAUAGGUAUACGAGUACCUAUAUAUACCGCGGUGUAUAUGUAUUAUUAUUUCUCGUAGCGAAAAAGGUCAACGCGGGAUUUAUAUACGUCCGUCCGUCCGCCCCCACUUCCCCUCCCGGUCUCGCAAAACCGUAUUUAACCCUUAUUACGUUUACGCGCUGCGCAGUAAUAGUUUUUUUUUUCCCCCCCGAUAAAUUUUCGUAUAUACCCGGGCUUUUUUUUUUUUUUUUUUCCGAAUGCCGUCCGUCGAUCAAACUGUAUACGCGUUUAUGUCGUCGUCGUCCAUAAUAUAAUACACGGUAAGUAUAUCAUGCUAUACGUAUACGUUUACAAUAAACGUAAACACGACGCGCAGAGUCUAUUUGAAUAUCGAUAAUAUUUCGGGCGCGCGCGCGGAGUGUGCGAACCGUAUUUUGGAAAACGCUCGUCGCACGUGUGGAAACGACGGACGCGACGGCUGCGGGGUCCGUACGCACGGGGUAGGGCCGAAAGAGAGAGAGAAAGAAAAAAACAAACCGAAACGCGCGUUUCCCGUCGCGGCUAAUUCUCUACACGCGGACGCCCGAUCGCGGUCGACGUUGCGUAAAGGCCGCGGGUUUAUCGCGACGCGGCGUACCGCGGCCUUUACCGGGGGGGGNNNNNNNNNNNNNNNNNNNNNNNNNNNNNNNNNNNNNNNNNNNNNNNNNNNNNNNNNNNNNNNNNNNNNNNNNNNNNNNNNNNNNNNNNNNNNNNNNNNNNNNNNNNNNNNNNNNNNNNNNNNNNNNNCCCCCCCUCCCCCCUCUCCCCCUCCCCCGCCGUCCCACACGUUUAAAUGCGAUUAAAAGUUUAAACUGUUGUUAACAGCGCGGGGAUUUCGUAUAAUCGUGUAUGAGCGUAAUGUACUAUUACAUUAUAAUGUGUACGCGAACCCCGUACAUAUACAAUAAUGUAUCGUGCCCCUCCGUAACCGAUCCGCUUAUCUCCCUCCUCUAUCCCCGUACCCGUCUGAUAAGUGUAGGUGUUAUAAACGUUGCGCGUGCGUGGUAAAGGACCGCGAAUUUUUUUAAUUCUAAUUACUUUUUUAAGGACCGCCACGCGUGUCUAGCGGCGGAGAAUCGGGGAGAGAAAAAAUAAUCGGAAUCGGAUAUUAUAUAGUACGCGAGAUCGGCGGACAACGAUUAUUUAUUAUCAAUUAUUGUAGAAUCCCGUCGAAUUUUCGACAAUUUCGAAAGCGUUUCGAAAAAUAUAUCGCGCGGUCUUAAAAAACGCGCGGAAAUCAUGCCAAAGUAAUUAUACCGGAGACUCCGUACAUAAACAAUGUGUAUUGUUAUAUCGUUAUCGUUUAAAUACGCGGAUAAUCGUCUGAAAAAAAAAAAAAAAUCAAAAAAAUCUGCGGGUUACUAUAUAUAUAUAUAUGAACGAGCCGAUGAAAUAAUAUUUCGUCGUACGUUUUUAACAACAUUAUGUUAUUAUUAUUAUUACUAUAAUGACGUUUUAGCUCCGAGACCCGUAUCCGCUGCGGCGCGCGUUAGAAAAACACUUUCGUAUUUUAUUUUUUAUUUCUCCCCUCCCCCACGCCCGUUUAAAAACGAUUACUUUUCCGUAUAAGUAUAACGAUAUGUAUACAUAUUUUAUGUGUGCGUUUAUCAAACACACGCACGGUGAAAAAAAAAUGGAACAUGAUGUAUGAACACUUAUUACUCUACAUACGCAUUAUAAUGUAUACGUAAGGUCGUCUUUACGGUUUACGCACUUAUCUCCCGUAUCUUAAUAAUACUUACGGGUUUUCAAAUGAGUCCUAAAAAAAAAAAAACCACAUUUUCUGUGGAAAAAUGAGCUCGAGUCGAUUCCGCGCGUAUAUUCAAUACGAGCAGUUUAAAUGUCGAAAAUACACACGCACACGUACACGUACACGAGGGCACACACACACGCUCAGUGCAAUUUAGACCAAAUAAAAAAGGAGAAAAAAAAUGCAUUUUUUUCCAUCCGAAUGUUUAUUUCGAAUUUAUUGUACCGUAAAAUCGUAUUUUAUCGAUUUUAUUCAAAUAUUAGGUAUAUUUUGUUCUUUUGUCGAAUAUUUCAAAACAAAAUACGAAACCAAAUGUAUUUAAAUAGACGCGACAAGCAUAAUAUUAUAUAAAUGUAACAAUAAACUGUCUAAUACAACUCGAAAGUUAAGUGAAUUAACGAAUUCAAUAGACGUUUGUAAAUCCAAUACGUUUAACAUUCAAUGCGUUUUAGUGGCAAAUACUCCUUGGAUUAGGUAAUAGAUUGAAAACAAAAAUCAAGAAUACUAUUCCUUUGGUAACAUUUCGUCAACCCAGUGUCGCAGUGACAAUGAGUGACGAGACGGCGCGGUAAGAGAUCGAAAAUAUUAUAACGUUUUCUACUUUUUUUUAUCCGCGAUUUAGGAAAGUUAUAUAUAUAUAUAUAUAUAUAGAGAGAGAUUAGUAUUGGGGAUUGCGCGGAGAGAAGGAAAUCGAACCGCAAACCAUGUGCAGAUGGACGCGAUUCAAAUGUAAUAUUAUUGCAUUUCGUCACCAAAGUCAUCGUGUGCGUAUAGGUAUUUACAGGUACUACUACGGUCGGUACUAAUAUUUAUGUUGUGCUGUCGACUUUGCAGCCGACGCAAAGAAAAUAAUCGCCCGGUUCCAAAUAGAUAAUAAAUGUGCCGCGUGUACCAGAUAUGGACAAUCGUUAAUUGAACUUUGAAAAAUACGAUUUCCCGACCCGAAUACCACUGUACCUACUAACUAGGUAUAAAUAUAUAUAUUAGAUACAAAUAAACGACCGAAGAGAAAUUACCCCUUGUAAUAAAACAUUUAAAAAAAGAUCGAUAACACCGUGACGGUUUAGUAAUGGUGUAUACAGGUAUAGAUUUUAUUCGCCGCGACGGCUGUACUCUCGAGUAUCUUAUCAAUCCGUGAACCGCAGUUAACACCGCUGUAAACAACACAAUCGAACACAUAUUUCGGCACACUUAAAUCGCUGUUUAAAAACCAUUAUAUGCCCGCGCGGCGUUUCGGGCACGCAGUUAAUACGAUAAUAAUGUAUAAAUAAAUAACGGCAUUUUGAAAGUCGGUUUGUGAAACCCGACUUCCAGCGUGUUGCUAAAAAUCAAACGACGAGUUCGUGUUCGCUGUGUAACCGAACGGUGUGUUUAAAACUCGAUAACAAACACAAAUCCCUCAGUCCCGGAACAAUCGAGAUAUUUUCGUAAACGUUAACUCACUCCUCCAGUCCGCGAGCUUUCGAGUUUUCGAGCGGUAUCAUAUCUGUAAACGCACGUAAAUAUCUGUAUAUCUGUUGCGUAUUUCCGUUGAAGUUCGAGUAAAAAAAAAAAAAAAAAACAAAGAACACUAACGCCUGCUGCUGUAGCCCGAAAAAAAAAACAAAACCAGACACGUCAGCGAAAAUACACAUUUUCCCUAUCGCCGCGCAUGUGUCUUGGAAAAAACGGUACAGUAAUCAUUGUAGGGCCGGUGCCUCCGUCACCCGCCCACCAUGCCGUGUCCAGUCCGCGGUUCUGCGCAGAUAAAAACAUAAACCAAUUAUUUAUAUUUUUUUUUCCUCCCGUCGCGGUUUUAGCAUAGUUUUUCUUCCAUGCGUCCGUCGCACGAUUUUGCUGACGUGCCCGGUUCCCCCCCCCCCCCCNCCCCCCCUCAAGCUUUGGGCUGCAACAACUGUUAAAACCGCGUGUAUUGCUCUUUAUAGCGCGUUCGUUAUCCGCGCAAUAAUAAUUGGUAUUUAUUGUUUAUUCUCCGGGCGGGACGUGCGAUCCCCGUGCACAGUAACGAAAUCGCGACACGGUCUGUUCGAUUUUUCGAUCCGUAUCGCGUAGUAUUCCGCAAUACUCGCCCCGGCGAAUAAUAAUUCCGGAAAACUGAUGCCUGCGCAGAGAGCCGCGAUGGAAUGUCGUCCCCGUGAUGUUUUCGCGCGAUGCGCGCGUUUCGAAAUCGAAUAAAUAACAGCGAAAACCGAAGACGGGCUCCGAACGACGGAGCGCAUAUACGAAUUGCAAUAUUACACCGGCACGCGGAGACCGUCCCCGCGCGUUUGACGAUUUCAUUUCGAAAAACCGAUUUAUCGAACGUUAUUGUGCGCGGGCAAUUCAACGCUGUUAUACACAACUCGGCCGACGAUUAAAACGCGCGAAUAUUCGCCCGUUGUCCGAACGCGCCACGCGGUACACACACACACACACACGCUGCAGCCGAUAUGAAUCGAUCGUGGUGUAAUUUAUUAACCGGUUAACCGCGACGGGACGAACCGGUGCGUGUUUCGCCGCGCGCUAUAAUUGCCCGAUGAUUCGUCGCGAUAAUAAUAUUCAAACCGCUACGCCGCGUUCGCGCGCGAUUGUGGAUAUUUUUGCGAGUUUUUCACGUUUCCACGUGUAAAUAUAUGUCUUGCGGUUUCGCGGGACGGCGUAAACAACAACAGUAACAACAGUUACGUGACGUAAACAUCAUCAUAAUAACAAUAAAGCGAGCCGAACGUAGCGCAACAGCGCAAGGGGGGCCGUUCGGUUUCCGUCGGUUUUCAACGGGACUCGGUCAAGUCGGUGGGCGAACAACCCCCUCGCGACCCGUCCCGCCACGGACAUUAUCCCGGCCGUGUUUUCGCGCGCAACGAACAUCGUUUUUUUUUUUAAUAAUCGGUUACGCGCGCGCGGGUACCGUGCAUCGCGCAAAUAAUGGAUCCGGGCCGCGGGGGCACACGUUGUAAUUAUUACGUUUCGUCGCGCCGCGCAGUUGACGUUUUCCCGUCGACAUUUUUCUCGUCGUCAAAAAUCGCUUUACCCGUAAUACGCGUGUUUACGCCGGCACUGCAUCGGCGCGGGGGGGGAUAUUCGGCAAUUUCACACACACACCGCGCGAUAGCCGCCGCCGCCUAUAAAUAGUAGCGAUACACCCGCCAGCCGGGGCCCGGUCGUGGGAACGUUUUACACGUUUAACUAUUCCGGCCGUCAUAUGCGCGUAGGUAUAAAAAUAAUAACAAUAAUAACGCGUAGUACUGCGCGGAGACAAAAGGAAUAAUAAAUACGUUUUUUUUUUUCCCUAAGUUUUCCAUUUUUUCCCCCCGUGUUUUUAUUUGUAAUUUUACGGUCUGCGGGACACUACAGCGCUACCUGUACACCGUAUAUUUCGUGUGCGUAUGUACAUAUAUAUAUAUAAUAUGUUCAUUUCAUUAAAAGAGUUUAUCGCCUUCCUUUUUCUGGGUACGCGACACAUACCGCAGAGAACGCGUACACACGUUAUAUUGUUUACGCUGUUGAAAAUCGUGGUAAAAAAAAAAAAAAAAAAAAAAACAAGUGUAGCAGAGAUUUUUUUGUGUUUUUUUUUCCUCUCUAUUUCAAUCUAUAUUUUAAUACGUAUACCGUACCGUAUACUUACUUACGUACCGUAUAUACUUUGUAAACUACGUACAAGUGGUAUUAUAUGUUUUUGGGAAGAAGGGCUUAAGUCGAUUUCGUAUAUGGUUUUCGACACGGGGCAAAUUAAAUAUCGAAAAUACAUAGUAUACACUUGCUGUACGUGCAUUAAUACACGUAUGCCGUUCCUUCAUUAUAACGUAUACCCGCGCGCGAGUAUUAUAACGCGCUAUUAUUAUUGUAAUGUUAAAGAUAAAUCGAAUGCUCCCCCUCCCUCUCUCGUGCCGUGCUCCUCCGGUCCCUCGAAAGUCAAAGAGAUAAAUUUUUAAUUUAAAAGACUUCGAAAAAUCCGCGACCUUUUAGCGCGGGUCUCUAUCUAUAUACGGCCUGUAUUAAAACGAUUAGUGAAGUAUUAUUAUUAUUAUUUGACAAAUGAAAAGUGAAUUAAUUAAAAACUUCUUAAUUGCAAAAAAUAACUGAUAUAUAUAUAUAUAUAUAUAUUAAACAUUUCAUAAUUUGGUAAUAAUAUAAACUUCUGAAACCGUUAAAAGGGUCUUAUUUCCCGUGACUGAUAUCGAUUCAUUUUUAUUUCUGUCCGAAAAUUAAUGUUUGAGAUUCUCGACCGGCCAAUUAUAGUAUACUGUAAUAAUAUACAGCGUCAUUCAAAUUUCACAAUACAGUCAAAUUUGCCGUGAAUACUUGUUUUUUUCCCCUCAAAAAAAUGACUUUUAUAAAAUAAAAAGGACAACGCAACAUUUUAAAAUGAUUUGAAAAAGUUUUACGUUUGUCUUUUUUUUUUUUUUGAAGUAAAUAUUCCAUGGAAUAUUACAUAUUUAUUCGUUUAUUUGCCGCGUAGUCGAUUUUUAUUAGCAUCGCUCCAUUUUUUUUUAUUUGUAUUAUAAUUAUUAUUAUUAUUUAUAGCCCUUUUUGCAUAGGUAUUAAAUAAAUGCGUUUAAUAUCGACUUAUAUCCUCGUUUGUAUAUUUAAUAAAUAUAUGCAUAUUUAUUAUUUAGUAUGUAUGUUAUUAUUAUUUUCCCGUAUUGUCCGACUUAUUCGUAUUAUGUACGCAUAUUACAUAUGUAUACCAGGCGUGUUCCGUUACUGUCGCGAAUAAAAAAAUAAACAAUGUGUACUUAAUAAAUAAUUCUUAUAUAUCUGAAUUUCUAUUGGUUCGAUUUAUUACAGUUAUCAUACUAUAUUACGUCUGAUGGACAAUCGAAAAAUAUUGUCCUAGGUGAAAAAAAAAAUGUCUGACCAUCCGUUUUCCGGAGUGGAGUAUGAGCAUCGGUGUAGUUUAAAAAUUAAAUGAAGUUUGUUUUAUUACGAAUUAAACUCUUAAAUUUAAUGUACAUCAUGUAUUAUUAAAAUUAAAAACCCAGUGGGAGGUAACUGUCCAGUCAUAUCUUCCCAACCCGGCUUCCGGUGAGACGACCAAGUAGUAAGAGAAGUAAAUUCGAUUUUCCUCUUGUUUAACCGAUGGAACCCGCAAAUCAAAAACUUAAAAAAAAUCUCGGCAAUUCUAAAGCCCAUAAUGCGAGCAUAUAAUAACGAUUUCGGAUCAGAUUAUUUUUUUUUUUUUUUUAUAAAUACUGCGGGGAAAACGUUUAUAGAUUUGUAUUUCAAAAAUAAUACUGUCGCCAGUCGAAAAAUUCGCGUCUCUUAUGGUAUAUUCGUAUAUAUAUAAUUAUGGCACGUGUAGCAACCGGACAAACGGUCGCAGAUACGUGUGCGUGUAUUUUUUUUUUUGCUCCCGAUUCACCCGGGGACUUUUUUAUUAGUCCAAAUUGCAGUCCCGGAUAGUGGUUUGCGACCCGCAGGAUUUCAAAUGUCGUGUGUGUGUGUGUGUGUGUGUGUGUGUGUGUGUGUGUGUGUGUGUAUGUGAAUUAAUUUCGUUGAAUUUCGAGAACAUCCAGUGCACACGAGUACAUGACGAUGAUGACGGUGCCCGCAGCUUAUCCGACCCGAUCUCGUCGUACACAAGACUAGGACGGACUAGUAGUCGUAUUAGUAGCAGUAAUAAUAAUAGUAGUAGUAAAAGAUAUUUCCUUUCUGUGUCUUCCCUAGCACGCAUCACUGUACAAUGCGAGCGCAAACUUCGUCUGUACAGAGGUAUAUAAUACACGUCGCGAGUUCACGAAUAAUAAUAUGUUUACAUUAUAUCCGCGGAAGAGGAUCGAGAGAUAUCUAGCGGCCAGGCUAGAGGAACAGAAAAUAUAUAUGUAUAGGUGUGCAUGCAUAAAUCCGUCGGCAAAUGAUCGCGAACAUACACGUGUAUACACACAUUGUAUAAUGUUGUGUUUGUGUAAACCCACGUUUUACGCCCCCUCGUCCCCCAUACCCGCCCGUCCCCUCGGCCAAUGACAGCUCGAAUUUAAACGCCCGGCAAUAGCCCGCUGUUACUGUACAUCUAUACAGCGCCCUGCCCCCGCUCAAUUAGUACAAUAUAAUAAUAAUGCAUUUGACGUUAUACUAACCGAUUUUGUAAUUUGUCUGUUUCAGGUAUGUGAUAUUCUAUAUGUACCGCGAUAACAACGAAGGUUAUUUUGUAAGAAAAAACUAAGCCGACGCGAUGUCUCCGACGAGUAUAAAAUCGUAACGUUGUUCAUUAUUAAUUAUUGUUGCUUAGUGUCCCGUGAAUAGAAUAUAAGCUAAGGAAAACUUUUAAAAUGAAAGCGUUAAAAAUCCCGGAAAAAAAAAAAAAACAGUCCAAAAAGCAACUAACGCAAUUCAAAUUUAAAAACUAGAUAACAUCAUGACCGUGACGUAGGAAAAUGUCACUAGAUUUGGAAGAAAUAAACAAAUAUGCACGAAACCGUUGGCAUAAUUUUCAAUCAUUAUGAAUUGAGUUUUAUUACUACCGGAACUAGUGCGUAUGACCCGAAUUAAGGGAGAAGAGGCCGGCGAAGACCGCCACGACGGCUUCGGGAAUCUUCGUGGCACAAACAUUUACACGGCGUGUUUUAACGGAAACGGCCCAUUUUCGUGCUUGGCGCGGGUAAAAAGACUAAACCAAAAUGGAAAUUCCCGUUCAAUUUCCGUGUCGCUCGUCACCGAAGUUCGGUUCGGUUAUUGGCGACUUUCGGUUCGAUUCCCGACCGGAUCCCUGCCGUGUUCGUACGUGGUCGACGCAUUGCCAGUUGAUUUGAUAUUGGGGAAAAAAUAAAAAAACCCUCCCCCCCACCGGGGCCUUUAACGCUCGAACGCUACGCGAUAAUAACAUUGCGCGCGGAACAGUUCCCGAUACAGGCGCCCGGGCAACGGACGCGGUGGCGCGUCCGUCGACAAUAUCGACGCCCCGGCUCGGGGACAAUAACGAAAUCGACAUUUUCGGUUCCGCACUCACACACACACACACAUUACACUAUACGAUUUGCAUUCCGGUCCCGGUCCCGUCUCGCGAACGCCACACGCGCGUGUGCGUAUACAUUAUGUACGUUGUGUUUUUCGUUUACACUUCAUCCCCGUUCGCGCGCACGUAAAAACAUCAAGUAUUUAAACUGCAUUAUAUCGCGGCGUGUUCGUUCGUUAUUUUGCGCCGCCGCCCCGCGAUUUUAAUUAGUUUUCGCCAAAAACGCUCCGCGGAAUCCGUCGCACUCGUAUGAAUAUUAAACGGGUAACGCGAUACGAGCGACUUUUUCGAAUAACGUUUUGACUUCGCGAACGGCGCGUAUAAAAAUGAUAUUCGCGCGUGCACUGUGUAUCAUAUAGGUGAGUUAACUAAGACGCCGUUGAUAACAAUUCAACUGCGCGGGCGCGCGCAAAGUUUUGACGGGACAGAGAAAUCGUUUAUUCCGGUGUAUCGUUUGUUUCGCUAUUAUUAUCUGUGUAUACGGCACCGCAGCAGAUUAUUCUGUUAACGGUAAACUGGCGAUAAUCAAUACAACGUGCAAUUGGUAUGAUGGUGUUUUCUUCGCGCGUCGACGGGGACAUUUUUCCGGGCCGGAAAACGAACAGUUGGAAAUUCGGGGCGAGUGUCGCUCUCACCCGUAUUGACGGCGAUAAUGACGGUAUAACCUAGAAAAAAAAGAAAAGAAAGUUAAUUGUACACUUGCCUUGCGUUCAAUAUUUUUUUUUUUUUGAAAAAUAUCACCCCCUAUAAUAUUUUCCACUCGACGACCUUUAGCGGAAUUAUUUUUACGCGCGAUUCCCGACCGUGUGUCCGUUCAUAAUAUUCUUGCUUUUUAAAUAAA